GCCAUCUUUGUUUGUAUCAAAUUUGGCGAAAACCCAUUUCAUUUCAUCUUCAUUUGGUUCGAAAGAUUUUGGUUCUGGCGGUGGCGAUGAAACACUAGAACUUUGUUUGUAGAUUCUUGAAUAGGCUGGUUUUAGUGAUGGUUUUCUUGAAAGACCAUGAAAGCUAAGAAAACUCAUAUUUUUUGAAGACAUUUGAAUUUUUCUUGGAUGAUAUGGCUAAAAAUUGCAAGUAGAUGGAAAUAAUAUUUGUAAUAACUUGCUAUGGAUUCAAGAAAUCAUAACUGACUUAUAUAUACACACACACAUUUACAAGCUACAGGGUUGUGGUUUAUCACGAACCAUGAACAUCUUCUUUUAAUUAGCUUUAUAUCUUUUAACGCGGAAGAAUAUUUAUUAUAUACUGUAUAAUAUAAAAGAAGUGGUUGUGAUUUUGGGAUCUAAAAAUUUGUCCAUUAUGUCAUUUUUAUGCUGUGCCCACUUCCACACAAGUUGAGUAAAAUUCUAUGCUACAUUCAUGAAUUAAUAGAGGAAAAGCAUUUGCAAACUAAAGAUACUUUUUUUAUCUAGAUUUUUGUUGUACUCUCAUUCUAAAAAUAAUUUUCGUGCCUCAAAUUAUAUAAUAUUAUUUAGAAUUAAUUUAAAUAUUAAUCUAAUUAAUAGGUCAAUUUAUUUUUUUAAUUUAAUUGAUUUUUUUAUUCAUUAGAAUAUCCACGGACCAUAUGCAUUGAACCUAAAAUCUCUUACUCUUUACGUAAAUAAAAAAAUUGAUUUUGAUUUUAUAUAUCAUUAAAUUAUUGAAAUAAAUUUAAUACAGUUUACAAAACUAAAUUGAUAAUCUAAUUAUUCUUUGUUAGGUAUUAGUUGGAGAAUUGAAUUAUUGGAUUAACUUUUAGAAGUAGUGAAAGAUUUGAAAACCUCAUCCUUAAACGCGCUUAUUGCCAUUUUCUAUUAAUUAUUAUUAUUUUUUCUAUAUAUUAUACGUGUCCAGCAUUUGGUUGCUCCACUUCUUCUCAUUUGUAGCCUCAUGUCUAAAGUAAUAGACCGAAGAUUAUUUUUGAACCUCAAAAAUUUUGUUCUAGAAAGAAAGUGUUCUCUUGUGGGCAUCCAAAAUUAAUGUAAUUGCACAUGUAUUGCUGAGAGGAGUUAUUGGGGCUCUGCAGUGGGUUGGUUCUGAAAUUUAAUCAAAUUGAUUCAGUUUUAAUCGAUUUUUUUUAAUAAAUUUAACAUUUUUAUAAUUGAUACAAUAAUCAAAAUUACUUAAAAUUAUAAAUUUAACUGAAUCUAAUAAUUAAAUUUUAAAAUUAAAUUAAUUUGAUUCAACUUUCAAUUUUAAUUAUAUUAUAUGAUCAUCCUUAGCAAUUAUUGAUAUUUAUAAGGUGAGCAGUAUGAUAAUUAAAUAAAAUGAUUUAAUACAAGAAUAUAUGUUCUUAAAUCACUUAAAAAACUAGUUCAAGUGAAUAUGAACUGCUCCAAAAAUGUAACUUGACCGUAAAAUCAAAAUAUAUACUCCACAAUUUAUUUUGAACAAAAUAAUAAAUAAAACUGAAUCGGAAAGUGAGGUUGCAAUUGCAAUAAGGAUGUAGCCGACCAAUGAAUAAUUUGUACAGAUAAAUAUUUUUUUGAUAGAACGUUGCUUACAGUAACUGUAGCAUUGCAGUCUUUCCUAGGUCGAGAAACUUGUAGCCCAACUUGUUUUUGGCCCAUAAGCCCAUUUUGACAUGGGCUUCAGUUGUUACUCUCAUUAUACUCGGUGUCCGACGACAUAUCCGCGUGCGUCGUUAAUAUGUUUAGGCAGUUAUGUGAAGACAAGUAGACGACGUAUUUUUGUAAACUGCAAUUAUUUUUCUUGAUAAAUGUCGUUUGAAUUUUAAGCCGUGGUUCGACGACAGAACAUCGUACGGCAUUAUCAGCAGCUCGAGAGUCGAGAGCUUAAUGUCGCCCUAAACGACAAUUGAUUUUUUAGCGAUGGAAAGGAAAACAGUACUACACGGAGUCAUUGUCUUGCCUCCUACAAGCUCCAAGAAAGAAUUGCGUCAUUGGCCUGGUUUCCAUCUUCCAUUCCAAGAAAUCAGAGUGAAAGAGGAAAGGCAGCCUUUUAUGUAUCUCUUCUUAAUAAAAUUCCUUGCUUAUUUAAAAAAAAGUACAAAUAUAUCUAAUAGAUUUAUGAAUAAUCCUGACAAAUUAAUUAGUAGGUUGGCGGGGAAGAUUAAUUAUAAAAUAGAAUUAAUAGAAAACAUUAUAGGAUAAUGAAAAUGGUGAAAAAACAAAUAUGAAGGUAAAACUAGGAAUUUUCAAAAAUUACAAAUAUUUUGUAAAAUAUUCAACCAAGCAGAAAAAACACAAAUAUGCCUUGUACAAAACUUCUCUUACAAAAUUAAAAAAUGUAAAACUUAAAAAAAAAAAAAAAAAAAAAAAAAAAAAAAGGACUGAGGAAUCGUAAAGUUGAUUUCUAAUCAACAAGCGUGACUGAAAUCAAUCCUUCAAUGUUUUUUGUUUUACCCUCUGCUUCUUCUUCUUCACCAACCCAAUCAAUACCAGUUAACUCUCUUGCUCUAUUUGCUUCCAUUUCCCAAUCUGUCCUCAUCAACACCACCACCAUAAUAACAGCACAAACAACUUGAGCAGCCAACAAGCCCAACCAAAGUCCCAGUAAGCCCAAGCCCAUCACAAAGCCCAUUAAUAUAGCAAUAGGCAAUCCUAUACCAUAAAAAGAACUCAAAUUUAUAUUAGCACCAAGAGUUGGCCUAGCACUGCCUCUCAAUACCCCACAGCCGGUAGUUUGAGGGCAGUUCCCUAGCUCACAAAGCCCUACCACCGGCAUUGCGGAGGCAGUCAACGACAAAAUGGCAUUAUCGGUAGUGAAAAUUUGACCCCAAGCAUGCCUCAUCGAUAUCAUGAAUAGCAUCGCAAUAAAACCCAUGAAAAUAGCACAUGACAAUGCAACAACAGAAGAAGUUUUUGCUUUGCUAGGCUGGUUCGCCCCUAACUCAUUCCCUACUCGAGUUGAAACAGCUAGACUCAGCGCUGAAGGGAAAAUAUAAAGAAGAGAAGUCGCUUGUAUUAAAAUUCCCAUUGUAGCAACUGCAUCAGAAGCGUUUGUUAAAAGUCCCGAAAACACUAUCAUAAGCUCAUACCACCACCAUUCUAAACAAACAGAAACGCAACUAGGGAUAGCCAAAUCAAGAAUCGGCUUCCAUUCAUCGAAACAACGAAGAGACCAACCUUGCCAUGACUCUCGACAAAUGCCAGAGAAACAAAGGUAAAGCAAAAGAGUAACGAGAAGAUUUAAGUCUGUUAUAGUUACUGCAACAGCUAUGCCUUGUAUGCCAAGGUGAUAAACAAGUAUGUGGUUUAUUGGAACAUGUAAAAUUAGGGCAAAAGCUGAACUUAACAUAAGAGGAAGAGUUAUAUUUUGAGUUCUUAGGUAGAUUUUAAGAGGGUUGAUAAAAGAUUGAAGAAUUAGAUCAGGAAGAGAGAAAGCUAGAUAAGUAGAAGCAAUGGAAGAGAUUGAAGGGUCUUGACCACAGAAUAUAAGGAGAGGCUCAAUGUUUAGCCAUAAAAGAGAAAUGGGUAUGCAACAUAAUGUAAGAAUUGCUAUCGUUCGUUGAAGAGUUUGGCUCAUAAGAGGCCAUUGCUUGGCUCCACAAGCUUGAGAGGAAAUAGCUUCCAUUCCCAUAGCAAGACCAGAGAUAACAGAGUAACCAGAAAUGUUAGCUAUUCCAAUGGAAAGAGAGCCUCCUGCUAAUACUUCUUUCCCUAAUUUACCCAUGAAGAUCAUUGAAAUUGCAGACUUGCCAUAGAUGAGAAGUCCUGUAAUGAUCAUCGGAAAGGCUAUGGUAUAAAGCUGUUUGAUUUCUUCAACAGCCUGAAAAUGAUGAAAAAGAGACAAAAACAGAUUAAUUAAGAACAAAAAAGGAUACGUAAUUAACUUUAGGUUAUUAGAAAAGAAAGGACAAGAAACGAUGGUGGCAUAUUGAAAAUAACCUGUGAAAGAGAAGGCCUCCAUGAUUGGUAUUGGCAGUAAAGAGAAUCUUGCUUAUUUUUUUCUUUUCUUGAUUUUCCAGAAUUAUAACGGCUUAACAGAGGAACAGAAGCUGAACCUGAAAUUCCUUGAUCAUUCAUUUUAUAAAAGAUCAAGGUUUUUCUAUUCAGCUUGAAGUGUACAAACUUAUAGUAACUAGCUAAGAGAAAGAAAAAUAAUAAUAACAAAAAACAGGAGGUAUAUAUUUUAUUAAUUCAAGAUUCGAGUUGGGUUUUGAAAGAACAUUCUUUUCUUCCAAUCUCAAUCUCUAAUAUAUAUAUAUAUAUAUAUUAGAAAUGUGAUAAAUAUAUGCACAUUGAGAAGUAAAGGGAGAGAGAUAAAGUGUGUAGGUCUCUCUCUAGAAUUCUACUUUCUUUCUGUUUUUGUUAUUUACUAGCUUUCUCUCUCUAUAAACGACUCAAGGUUAGUUAGGGUUUGGUGGUGAUGAAGAGGAAUGGACGAGUGUGGGGAGGAUAAGGAAAGGAGGUGGCCAUGCGGGUGGUUCGUCUUUUUCUUUCAAGAGUUCGUCGGCACUCUAAAAACAAAUAAAUAAACUUCAAAUCCUUUUUUAUUUUAGAAAAAGAAAUAAAAUCCACCCAACUUAAGCAGGAAUGGAUUAUAAUUUUAUCCAACAAUAAAAUAAUAGUGGGAAAAUAUUAAUAGUAACUAAAAAAUGACAGAAAAAAUCCAAUAAUAUUUUUUUCUAUAAAUUUAAAUUUAUGGCAACGAGGAAUAAUAAGAGAAACUCAAGUUACAGUCGCUGGCAGCUCCUCUAAAUGCCUAACACGGAAAGCUGUCAACACAUGCAUCAUCUAAAAGGUCACUGUAAUGCCUUAAAACAGCCAUUGUUUCUCUAUUCAUGGCCGGUCCCUCUUCUUACUAAAAUAUAAGAAUCUUUUAGCUUGUGGGUCCCUCCCUUAAGGUGGGUUCCACAAUUGAGUUUUUGAGGGGUUCGGUUAAUAGUACUGUGCUAAGUACUAACGUAAUAUCAAUGAGGCUAGCACGUGUGUGCUUCCUUUGCCACGUGCCUUUGGUAAGCCAUGCACCUUUCUUGCGUGCUUUGUAUCUGAAGGUAAAACCCGAAAAACGACCUUCCGGUUGAGAGUGCGGUUUUAUUUAUUUGAAAUUCACAUUUUAAAAAAUCAUUUUAAUUGAUUUUUAAUAAGCAACUAUUUUAUUUUUUUUCUUAAAAAUUGCUGGAACAGAACUUUGCCAGCUGCACACGCAUGCCUUUGACUGAUCAAGGAGUAUUUUUGCCAUUUUCUACAAGAAUUAAGGGCUUUAAAUGCAAGCUUUAGGUAUGUCACGAAGCUAAUUUUGAUAUGCUAGCGGCAGAUAAUGGGCUGUCAAAUUGCCUUUUGGAGCACCUUAAUCGAUAAAAAGGGCCCCAUCUAUUUUAUUUUUGACCACAGUAACUAGAUUACAAAUGAGAAAGAGUCUUCAGAAGAGAAACUGAGUUUUCAAGUGCGAAUAGAAACUGGACCAAAAUCCAAGUAAUACCACUGUCGUUUUGUUAAAGGUAGCUCCAAGUUUUUAAGACAACAACUACUUUUUUUUAUGUCGUCGUCGUCGUCGUCAUUAUAAUAAUAAUUAUUAUUAUUAAAUUAUCUCACUAUGCAAUGAUUCCUGUGGGUGGGGUCAUAAUCAAUUAGAGUCUAGAAGUUAGAGAUUGGAUAAGGAUUCCACUAACUACACAUUCCUUAAUUAAUUAUGUAGCCUAAGAGCCAAUGGCCUCUCUCUUGAGUAAUAUCCGAGGGACCACGGCAUGCCACCAUACACAAAAUGAUCUCUUUUUAUAUAAUUUCUUUCGUAAUAGAAGAUACAGGGAUGAGGCAAGGACGUAAGAUAUUUAAUUUAUGUAGUAGUAUAUAAUAAACAGAAAAUACAAAAUACAAAAUGUAGACGACAACAACAGUCAAUUCUGUCUCCUUUCUUCCCUUCUAUUAGACAUGGCCUUCCUCUAAUAAAAUACUCCAUUAAUGGAGUAAGUUUUUCUCAAUUAAUUAAACUUAGAAGGGCUUAAUCCUCAAAAUGGGCUGGCAUUGUAUGAGAAGAUUUCACGUGAUUAGAUGCUCCACCUGAAACUUCUACUAAAUGGAACUGACCCACUACUCGUCUCGAUAAGUGAUUAUUAUUAUUAUUAGUAUUAUUAUUUUCGAUUUCUCAAAGUUUACUAGUUUUCUCACCUUAUUUCCCAACAUAAAAGCAUUUGCUUACUGCUAGUCUUGUUUAUUUGUCGAAUUUUAUUAAUUACGUAAAAUACAAUCUGUUCUUUAAUUACGCAAAAUAUUGUCUGGUCUCGAAAGGUAUUAUGCAGCAGAGAUCACAUUCUCUGAUUAACUGUGUUUUUUUUUAACGUCCAAACCUCAAAUUUAUGUACUUGAGCUUCAGUAAGGGGACCAUUAGUUAGGUCUUAAAAGCAAAACUUACCAACUAGAGCUGAACAUUUUAUUGAGCUGGACCUAUGCUAUGAAGGAGCUGUGCUCCUCUAAGCUAAACAUUAAACGUAACAAUACACAAAAACGUGUUAGUGGGACAGAUCAACUUCGCCGAUUCUGGCAUUCUGAUAUAGACAGGAAUUUCAACCAACAGAACAGAAUCGGCAAAGAUGGCGUCACUUUUGCCAAAAUGAUUAUAGCUUUAAAUUCCAGCAGAGAAUUAUGUUCUUUGUUAAAUUUCAAACAUAAAAUUCUACACAAAAAAUAACACAAACACAAAUCCUGUUGCUACUAGUUAAAAGCCUCCUUCAAAAGGGUUUUAACUAUUGAAUAAUCCUUGAAAUCAUAUAUGGGUUACCUACUAGUUAUCCAAGGAAGUAGUUUCCAAAUUGAUAAUGGAGCCAAGGGCAGUAAACUUGUUACUUUGACUAUUAUUAUCUUACACUUUUGUUCUAAUAAACUUGUUCUAUGGUUGAAUUUCUUUAUGGGAAAAAGAAAAAAAGAUCAAGCAAAGGAUAACUCCAUUGCAUUUGACCUGCAAGAAAUGAAGUAGUCUCCUAAUUAGCACCACCUAUAAAGGAAUCUUCUUAAAUCAGACAAAACCUAUUUUGUAACUAAACUCAAAGCUGAUAUGGUAACUAAGUUGUUGCUAACAACCAAAUUUUCAUUUUCACCCUCUUCAAUUACCGUACAGAUCAUACAGUUUAUAUGGAACAUGCAAACUAAGGUGGAUAAAAAUGUCAAUAUUGUUGCAACUACUCACAGAUUAUCCGAAUCAUACAUGAGGACUUCAAGAGUUGGAAAGAUUACAAGAAGUCAAGUGUCAUUUUGCUUUUUGUGGACAUUGCAGAUAAUAAAUCAUCUUCACAAGAUCUCAGAAAUCUGCAAUGUAAGGAUAUUUAUGUUAUCAUAUAUCCAGAGUAAAUGCAUACAAAAGGUCACCAUUCAGAAAGAAAAAGGAAAAGAUAUCCUGAAGCUACCCAAAAAUGCUUUAAAUAAUAAUACCAAUAAUGAUGACAACAAAGAAAGUAACAACCAUAAAUAUAAAAAGCUAACAAACAGAUCAAAUGAAAUAUCUGUCUAUCAUCAUGCUAGCUGUUUCUUUUUCUUUUUAUUUUUUUAUUAAAAAAUAAUUACGCUAACUCCUAGCCUACGCGCAUAAUUAUUUGGACCCUUAGAAUAAGUUAAAUGCUAUGUUGCCUUGGUAAUAUGCAACCAAUAAGUAGGGAACAAGAAAGAAGUAACAUACGUUAAUAGGCAUUUCAGCUAUGACAAGGCCGCUGCUCUCUUCGACACUUUUAAGAGUCACCACUUCUCCCCCAACAACCAUAUUGACUACAAUCCCAUCUGAAAAAGUUUGCAUAGAGUUAUUAACUUAUUAUGAAUUAAAAAACCGAUACUACUAGUACAUGUGUAAUGUGUGUUUGAGAGCGCGUGUGUGCAUGUGUGCACGUGUGUGUAUAUAUGUUAUUAAGAGAUCAACCUGCUGCCAAACAACUAGCCAUGCGUCUCGCAUAUGUUUCCUGCAAGCAGGCCAAAAAAUUGACAAAAAUCUCUAAAUUGAAUUCCUCAGUUAUUAGUAUCAAGGAAAAAAGUACAUACACUCAUGUAAUGAAAUAAAAAAGUUGCAGAAAACAAAAGCCUCAAACGAAACUGAAUGUGGUUUGUAGCUAACAUCACCAUCUUCGAUGGAGCAUUAGCAAAGGCAUGCAUGGAACAGACAAAUAGGAACUGGAAUUGCUUUGAGCCACUUCCAUGGGAACCAAAUCAAUCAGUGAUUGACCAGCAAGUAUUUAGAGCAUCUCCCUGUUAAGCGUAUCAGAUAAGGGAAGCCCUUUGGCCCAUGAUUGUUGUGAUCUUUUUGUCAAAAAGUUGGGCUGAACCGAGUAUUAGUGAACCAACCCUUCACAAAAGGUUGGGCUAAGUAUGAUAGAUCUCUUCAAGUACUUAGAAUUCUUAGAGAUUGUAAAUUGGCAUGCAUAUUGCAUUCAAUCAGACAGACAGACAUAUUUCUUUUAAGAGAUGAUUGAUUGUAGAUAGAACUACUCUUAGAUAGUUACAAGAUGGACAUGAAAAGACUUCUUGGAAAGUGGACAACAUGCCAAAAGAAAAGUGAAAAAUGAAUUCAUUAUGAUCUUGUCAAAUCAAGAAGAUAAUCAGAUAUCAACUGAAGCUGAAGUGCCAAACAUAUGAAUCAAAGCCCAAGGCUGGAAUAUGAAAAUCACAAGAAACGAGGAAGCAGCAAGCACACUAUAUAAUUGCAAAUACUUCAUAAGAAUUACUGCAAUUUCUAGAACUUCAGGCUCGAUUACAGAAGAAUGUACAAAGCAACAUCAAGUUGGCCCAAAACUUUAACCAAUAUAACCUGGCAAGCACUUGAUGAAGUGUUCAGGGAAAGAGAAAGUGGAGUUCAGAAAAUAAACCAGUUAAACAUUGCUGUUUUGAAAAACACAGAAAUACAUGUAGAUAAUCUAACUAAUGGCAGAAUAUAUUAAGGUCACCUUCUUCAUUGGUAACUCGUAAUUAAUCAGAAUACGAGCUGAAAUUGGUGACUCCCCACAAGCAAGAAGUGGAAGGCAUGUAUCCGUUACGACUAUCAUGUGAGAUUUUUCCUCAUCUUUUCCAAUUUCACUACCAUCUGCUGACUGAGGAGCGAGAUUCUGGUUCCAUCUCAACAUUGCUUGUCUAAAUUUGUCCAAAACUAAGGUACGUUCUGAUUCAGCUAGAUCACUGUACUGAGCAAAAUAUUUGGAAGUUGUAUUAUCAAACAUUUAUGUACGAGCAAAUAAUAUAAAACCCCUAGAUUCAAUAUUUCAAAACAUUAAUUCCACAAGAUAUCCAAAAUAAUUACCUCAAGAACAAUGACCGAAAACAUACUUCAAAUACUAUAGUGUUCAAAUUCAAGGUGCUAAAAUAUAUGAAUACUAACCUACCAACACAGGUUUUAUUCAAGAAAGCAAAUUAUUCAACGCUGGAUUAGCACUCUAAUUGGAUGGAAGAACGGGUCCACCUAAAAAGUCUUUCAAAAAAAAAAAAAAAAAAAAAAAAAAAAAACCUGCCAGUAGAGGCCCAGCCACAUACAUAAACCAAACGCAUAAUCAUACUGUUUUAUCAAAAAAUCCAAACAUAAGACCUGAGAGUUGCUAAUUCAUACGCAAUAUAGGCAAAAGGUGACUAAUAGGAAGAAGCAAGACACAGAAGAAACAACCCAGAUUCAUUGCUAGAACAGUUGUUUAACUAAGAAAUCAGUGAAUUCUUGCACUUACAGAAAAGGUUAUCCAUCUUGCACUUACAGAAAAGGUUAUCCAUCUUAAACGGAUCUCUCAAACUUCCAACAAUAUGAGUAUACAAUCAGCAAAUCAAUUGGGCACAUUAUAAAGGAGAAAAGAAAAAAACGACACUCGAAGCACUUAAUUCAUGAAACCAAACAAUUGACGCAACUAUCGAAUAAUGAUUCAGGUAAUAUAUUAACACUGAACUCUAAAAUCAAAUAAACCCUAAAGCAGAGGUGGAUAUACGGAAAAAAUAAUUUUACCAGAGAAGCGAGAGAAAUGUAAGGGAGGCUAGAGACGGCUGAGCAGACAGCGUCGAGCUCGUCCCGAGAGCUGCAGCAUAACACCAUCGGCAGCCCAGAGCGGCGUCCCGCUACGCCCAACAAGUCCACCAAUGUCUCCUGCAAAUUUAAGAGCAGUCAACGGAAGGUCUUUUGAGAUUAAACAAAUUAUAUAUAAAAAUAGUAAAAAAAGAACGGGAGAAACUUGUUUGAACCAUCCGAAUUGAAAAAUUGGAGAGGGAAAGAUAUAGAAUGAACCAUUUUGAACUGCAGUCUGUCAACGGCGACAUAGAAGUGGCGUUGUUGACUGCAACCGGAAAAAAUACUAAUGACAUUUUUUAUUGAAGAGAAGAGAAAGUACAAAUGAAGAAAUUUAAAUAAUUAAAAGAAAAAAGAAAAGGGAGGCGCCUGAAAUGGGAAGGGGAUUGUGGCAGAGGAGAAGCGGCUUCAAUUGCGUCCAUUCGUACCAGCUCUCUCGAGCAUGAACUAAGCCCGAUAAUAACCGCACCAAGCUGCCAUGUGAUUUUGAGGUUCAUUUAUUUUAUUUGAGCGGCGUCGUUUCAGCUGAACUUGAUUCGUUUAAGAUUUUAUUAGAAGAAAAAACAUCUAAAAAAUAUCACAUCUUGGAAAAAUGGACAGUUGAAGUUACUCCUCUGUCUCAUAGUUUUUGACCUACUUUGCUUUUUCACGUGUUCUAAAUUAUUGUACUGUUUUUUUUUUUUUUUUUAACUUUCAUCUUAAAUAUUCAAUUCGUAUGAAUUUAUUGUCUAGUUCUCGAUUAAACUAGUUAUGAUUCUCAAAAACUGUUUUUGAUAAUAUUUAUGAUUGAGGAUAAUCAAUUGCUAACCUUAAUUUUUCUUUCUUUCUUUCAUUUUGUUUUUUUUUUUAAGAACAAUUACCUCAACGAGCGAAGGUAUUUUAAGAAAUAAUAAAUCAAAUUCAUUUGAUUAUAUUACAUUAUGGUCAUGUAAUAAAAUGUGCUGUAAUAAGAUUAAAUGCAUUAAAAAUUAAAGGAUAAAUUGUUUUGAAUUAAUUUUUCGAUAAUUAAGUAAUAUGAACGGUGCGUUCUUUUAUUAUGAAUGAUUUGAAUUAAGAUUAAGGCAUACCACUUUUAUAUGAUUUAGUUUAUAUCAAAAUCACUUCUCUUUUAACCUUGAAAAGUUGAAAUGUAGCAUUUUGUCAAAUUUAAAAACAAGCAUAAAAAAAUGCGGAACAAUUAACUUGUAUAAUAAGCACAUAUGGCAAAAUAUGUUGUCAGAAAAUAAACUAAAAUUAGUUUUCAUUAUGUAUUGGCAUUUUUUUUUUGUUUUGUAAAAAAUAAGCAUAAAUAUAAUUAUUAAGUCAAGCAUAUAAGAAUUUAAUAAUAUUUUAUCAUUACAAUCAAUUUUAAUUUUUCUUCAGUCAUAUGUUUUCAAAAUAACAAUUAAUUUUGCUAUAUAUAUAUUGAUAUUAAAUUGUAAUUUUGUUUCUUCGCAUUAAGGUUGGGUAACAAAUAAACAGGACGAGAACUGGGAGUAAACAGUAGUUGUGCUUGUGGUCCUAGUCCAACGCCCACGUAAACUUAAGAAAAGAGCCCGGACAGGUACGAUAAAACGAACCAAGGACCAGGGAAGGGUAUAAGUGAAAAUUUUCUCAUUUUAAGUCGGCGAAUACAUAAAAAGACAAGGAAUAAGUAGGAGACAAUUACAAAUAGCAUAAAGUAGAGGGGAGCAAAACAAGAAAAAGAAAAAACCAUCCCUUAUUUUGCUCUCGUGCUCUAGCUCCCCUCUCUCGUUUGCUCUCUCUCUCUCUCUCUCUCUGUGGUUUCAGUAGGGCUUCUCUGUGACGUUCAUCUCGUACUCCUUUCUCCGCGGCGCACGUUAUCAUCGCCGUCUCUAUCCUACGCCCCCAGAGGUAAGCUACACAUCAUAUGCCUCCUUUCUUCCAGUUCAUUUUGAUCUCUCCACACCGGAGAACUAAAACUGAAGAAACAACAGAAAGACAUUUUUUUAAUGAAAGCUAAAUUAUAUACAAUAGUUUAAAUUAUUAUUUUAGAUUAUUCAUAUUUGUUUGAUUUUAUUUUUGGCUUGAUCAGGGUUAGAGGGAGUUUCCGCUAUCUAGGGUUUGAUCGCCUGAUCUUCGUUUACGGUUAGAUCUGUUACUAUAGAGAGAGGAAUAGUUUUUUGUUGGAGAAAAAAAAAAAUCUUAGGGUCAGGGGUUGUUCUAUUUAUUUGAUGCGUUGGCGGGGAUCCGAGGCCUGCAAACGGGUUGAUAUUCUGGGUGGGACCCUGAGAUGGCCAAUCCCGGAGUCGGGAACAAGUUUGUAUCUGUGAAUCUCAAUAAAUCCUAUGGCCAGCAUCAGUAUCACCAGCAUCAUCAUAAUAAUCAGCAUCAUUCAAGCUCCUAUGGUUCAAACCGCACCCGCCCUGGGGGAGGUGGUGGAGGGAUGGUGGUGCUUUCGCGGCCCCGUAGCUCACAGAAGGCUGCUGGGCCGAAGCUUUCUGUUCCACCCCCCUUGAAUUUGCCAUCACUGCGGAAAGAGCAUGAGAAGUUUGAUUCAUUGGGAUCAGGUGGAGGGCCUGCUGGAGGAGGUAUGGGAAGUGGGCCUCGCCCUAGUUCUUCAGGUAUGGGUUGGACCAAGCCUGGCACAAUUGCCAUACAGGAGAAAGAAGGUUUUGGUGUUAAUGGUGACCAUACACUUGAUGAUAGUAAUAGCAAUAAUAUUCACGGUGUUGAUCAGGGAUUGCCUGGUGUUGUCAAUGGGGUCAGCAGCGGUAGUAAUGUAUAUACACCCCCUUCGGCUCGGUCAGUGGUGUCUGCAGUUUCUGUUCCUUCUCGGGGUUAUUCGGUUGCAGAGAAAGCUAUGGUUUUGAGGGGCGAAGAUUUCCCUUCAUUGCAGGCCGCUUUGCCAACUUCUGGGCCUGAAAAGAAGCAGAAGGAUGGUAUGAAUCAGAAACAGAAGCAAGUAUUGGGUGAUGAGCUGGCUAAUGAGCAGAGAAAUGGUUCCCAGUUCAGCACACUUGUUGAUAUGCGUCCACAAUCACAGUUGAGGAAUAAUAUUGGCAAUGGAUUACAACACUAUGGUGGUGAAACCCGUGGUUUUGGUGGUUCUGUAAUGCCUGAGAAAGAUCGAAAGCAGGACGACCUUUUUCCAGGACCAUUGCCGUUAGUUCGAUUGAAUCCCAGGUCAGAUUGGGCAGAUGAUGAGCGUGACACGGGGCAUGGUUUGACAAAUAGGGGGAGGGAUCAUGGGUUUUCCAAGAGUGAAGCUUACUGGGAUAUGGAUUUUGAUUUCCCAAGGCCCAGUAUAUUGCCACAGAAACCCGCACAUAAUUUCUUUGAUAGGAGGGGACAGCGUGACAAUGAAACUGGAAAGAUUUCUUCCAGUGAAGUCACCAAAGUGGAUACUUAUGGGAAAGAUGCAAGAGUGUCUAGUAGGGAGGGACGGGAAGGAAACUCAUGGAGAGCUUCUUCUCCUCUUUCAAGAGAUGGAUUUGGUGUCCAAGAGGCUGGGAAUGAAAAAAAUGGUAUUGGCGCAAGACCAUCUAGUCUGAACAGGGAAGCAACAAAGGAGAAUAAGUACAUUCCAUCACCUUUCCGAGACAAUGCUCAGGAUGAUGCUGGAAGGAGGGAAUUGGGGUAUGGACAGGGAGGAAGGCAACCUUGGAACAACAAGAUGGAUUCUUUUGGCAGUAGAGGGUCUGAAUGGAGUGGUCGAGAGCGUUAUGGAAGUGAACAUAACAACAGGUUCAGAGUUGACACAAACCAGCAUAAUGCAGCUUCCAAGUCAUCAUUUUCUUUGGGUGGUAAAGGGCUUCCAAUUAAUGAUCCCAUACUGAAUUUUGGUAGGGAGAAACGCCCAUUCUCAAAGAGUGAAAAGCCCUAUUUAGAGGACCCUUUCAUUAAGGACUUUGGGGCUACUGGUUUUGAUGGGCGGGAUCCCUUUACUGGAGGACUUGUUGGGCUGGUUAAGAAGAAGAAAGAUGUGCUUAAACAGAUAGAUUUCCACGACCCUGUUCGGGAAUCUUUUGAAGCUGAACUUGAGAGAGUUCAGAAGAUGCAGGAACAAGAGAGACAACGGAUAAUUGAAGAGCAUGAAAGAGCUAUGGAGCUGGCUCGGAGAGAAGAAGAGGAGAGAAUGCGGCUGGCUAGGGAACAAGAAGAGCAACAGAGAAGGUUGGAAGAAGAGAGACUGGAAGCUAUGCAUAGAGCUGAACAGGAGAGACUGGAAUCCAUGCGGAGAGCUGAAGAACAAAGGAUAGCUAGAGAGGAUGAGAAACGCAGAAUUCUUUUGGAGGAGGAGAGGAGGAAGCAGGCUGCUAAGCAGAAGCUUUUGGAAUUGGAGGAGCGAAUUGCAAAGCGGCAUGCUGAAGCAGCAAACUGUGGUAAUACUAAUUCUUCUGGUGAUAAAGAUGAGAAAAUGUCUGGGUUAGUACCAGAAAAGGAUGUUUCCAAGUUGACAGAUGUGGGUGAUUGGGAAGAUAGUGAAAGGAUGGUAGAGAGAAUCACAACUUCAGCAUCUUCUGAUUCCUCAGGAAUGAAUAGACCAUUUGAGAUGGGUUCUAGAUCUCACUUCACUAGGGAAGGCUCUUCUGCGUUUCUGGACAGAGGUAAAGCUGUUAAUUCAUGGAAAAGGGAUAUAUUUGACAAUGGCAACAACUCGACAUAUCUUCAACAGGACCAGGAGAAUGGUCAUCGUAGUCCCAGGCGGGAUAUAUCUAUUGGAGGAAGAACUUUUCCUAGAAAGGAGUUAUAUGGGGGGCCUGGACUUGGUCUCCCGAGGACUUAUCAUAAAGGAGGGGUUACUGACACUCAUAUGGAUGAUUUUAGUCAAAUUAAGGGUCAGAGGUGGAGCAUUUCAGGAGAUGGAGAUCAUUAUGGUAGAAAUACAGAUAUUGAAUCUGAAUUUCAUGAUAACCUUACUGACAGGUUUGGUGAUGCUGGAUGGGGACAUGGUCAUUCUCGUGGCAGUCCUUAUCCUCCAUACCCUGAAAGAAUGUAUCAAAAUCCAGGGGCAGAUGGGCUUUAUUCCUUUGGGAGGUCAAGAUACUCCAUGAGGCAGCCUCGUGUUCUACCCCCUCCAUCUAUGAAUUCGAUGCUCAGAAAUCCCUACAGAGUUGAGAAUGACCAUCCUGGUGCCUCAAAAUUUCCAGAAAAUGAGAUGCAGUAUAAUCAUGUCAUGAGAAAUGAAUCUUCUGUGCAGACAAUGUAUGAUAGCAGCCACCAGGAGAACAUUGGACAUGCUGAAGGAAUUGAUACCCAGCAAGAGCAUGCUGAGAAUGAAGCACACAAAAUGGAUAGGAAUACAGCAAGAUGUGAUUCACAGUCCUCGCUCUCUGUUUCAAGCCCUCCUGAUUCUCCGGUCCAUCUCUCUCACGAUGACUUGGAUGAAUCUGGAGAUUCUCCAGCUUUAUCAGGUGGUGAAGGCAAAGACAUUACCUUGUUGGAGCAAGGGAAUGAAUCUGCAACCUUACCUACUGAAGCUGAGCAAGAGAAUUUGAUGAGUGGGUCAAGUGUUAUCUCUACUGGUGAUGAUGAAGAAUGGACUAUUGAGAAUGAUCAACAGUUGCAGGAGCAAGAAGAAUAUGAUGAGGAUGAAGAUGGAUAUGAUGAAGAAGAUGAAGUGCAUGAUGGAGAAGAUGAGAAUGGUAACCUGGUAGAAGAGAAAGGUUCACCUGACAUGAUAGAUAACUUGGUCCUUGGCUUCAAUGAGGGGGUUGAGGUUGGGAUGCCAAAUGAUGAGUUUGAAAGAAGCUCAAGGAAUGAAGAAACCAAAUUUGUGAUUCAACAAAUUUCUGCAGAAGAACAAGGCUCUUUUGAGGGGAUGGGCAGUGAUGGACAAAUUCAUCAACCUGUGGAGGGUUCUACUGUUGAUAAUUCUUCCAGAAUCUUCCAGGAAACUGAGAAGGCAAUGCAAGAUUUGGUAAUUCAACCUAAAAAUUCUCCUCACACAUCUUCUGAACUUGUGGAUUGUGUGGAUGUGUCUAGUAGUUCUGGCCUCUCCACUCAGCCCCAAGUCCCAUCUUCAUUAGGACAGACUGUCAGGUCCAGUGAUCCUUCUAUUCUCGGUCAGCCUGAGGUACCUGUUAAGCUUCAGUUUGGGCUGUUCUCUGGUCCUACUCUGAUACCAUCACCAGUUCCAGCCAUACAGAUUGGUUCCAUACAGAUGCCACUUCAUCUUCAUGCACCAGUUGGCCCAUCCCUCACUCACAUGCACCCAUCACAACCUCCUCUCUUCCAAUUUGGUCAGCUAAGUUAUACUUCUCCUAUUUCACAGGGGGUAUUGCCGUUGGCUCCACAAUCAGUGUCCUUUGUUCAGCCUCAUGUUCCAACUAAUUUUCCUUUGAAUCAGAAUGUGGGUGGUUCUGUGUCUAUUCAACCUGGUCAAGAAACCACUGUUCAGAAUCUGAUGAAAAGUGAUUUAUUGUCUCUUUCAAUGGACAGCCAACCAGGCCUUCUUCCCAGAAACUUAGAUGUAUCUCAUGGUCUAGCUUCAAAAGAGGGAAGUUUGCCACCAAGAGAAAGAGCUGAUAAAACUGUAAAACUGCAGCAGAACCGAGGAGAUCUUUCUCACAGUAAUGAGAGCAAAACUAGGCCUGAAUCAGGUUUCCCAGCAGAAGGUUCAUUUGUGAAAAAUUUCAAAGCCUCACCCUCUAAAGAAUUGGAAGGCCAGCCUCAAGCUGGGGCAAUAUCAUCUCAGUCAGUUUCUAAAGAAAAAGAUAUAGGCAUCUCAAAAGGUCGGGGCCUAACAUCAGGAGGGAGAGGGAAAAGAUAUAUCUUUGCAGUAAAAAAUUCUGGAUCAAAACCAACAUUUCAGGCUUCUGAAAGUUCUCGCCUAGAUUCUAGUGGAUUUCAGAGACCCAGACGCCAACGAACUGAAUUUCGGGUUCGGGAAAAUGCUGAUAAGAGGCAAUCUACUGGGCUUAUUUCAUCUAGUCCAUAUGGGACGGAUGAUAAGUCUAAUAACAUUGGUAGGGGUGCUCGAGCAACAAGUGCUUCGAGGAGGGUGGUUUUGUCCAGUAGACAACCAAAACAGACAUUUGAAUCAGAAAUGUUGAACUCAAGGCCAGUUGGUUCACGGGAGGUAGAUUCAGGAGGUAAGGCUGAAAAGGGAGCUGGAAAUGAAUCUUUGAGAAAGAAUCAGAGCAUUUCACGCUCCGGAGAGGAUGUUGAUGCUCCUUUGCAAAGUGGAAUUGUCCGUGUUUUUGAGCAGCCUGGCAUUGAAGCUCCUAGUGAUGAUGAUGAUUUUAUUGAGGUCAGAUCAAAGAGGCAAAUGCUGAAUGAUCGACGUGAACAGAGAGAGAAAGAAAUCAAAGCAAAGUCUCAAGUUUCAAAGGUUCUAUUACACUUGCUCUUUGAAUUAGCUGUCCCUUUUGUUUGUAGUAAAUAAUACUAGUCUUAAUUACUUCAUGUUGAUGCUAGAUGCCACGAAAACUUCGUUCUACCUCACAAAGUACUGUUGCAUCGGGUACCUCAAAUAAAAUUUCUGUAUCAGUUGGUGCAGAAGCAUUAAACAGUGCCCGCUCUGAUUUUGUUGGCAAUGAUGGACAUGGCUUAGCAAAUGUUGAAGUGUCUGCAGGAUUUAAUGCACCUAUAGUUUCCCAACCACUCCCUCCAAUUGGGACUCCUGCCGUGAAAAAUGAUGCCCAAAUCAAGUAAAAACAUUUCUCAAACAAGUCUAGAAAUCCAAAUUGUAUGCACAUAUGUGUUAAUCUUAUAUUUUUAUCUUGCAGGUCCUUCCAAACAGGCUCCUUAACAGUUGUAUCUGGUGGAGGAAAGAACCUUGCUACUGGCUUAAUGUUUGAGACCAAGAAUAAGGUUCUGGAUAAUGCCCAAGCAUCUUUGGGCUCUUGGGGUAAUUCACGUAUUAAUCAACAGGUAUGCAGAUGUUCUUGCUAAAUGCUAUAACUGGUAUAUUUGAUGUUCGUCUUGUGCUUUGUUCUUUCCAUUUUAUUUCGUGUCAAUAUGAAGCUGAUUAGAUUUUGCAGCAAAGGAAGAAAGCGUGAUUGGAGUUUUGGUGAUUUCUUGUUGUUAUGCCUCUCCUUCCCCCUCCUUUGCUGUUGCUAUUGUUGGUGUCUGUUUGUUGAAGUGUGUUACAGUUUCAUCCAUGAUGUGUUCUUUGGGAAUUGUGAUGGUCUAAUCCUUGUUGCUGCUUGACUUUUCCGUAUUCUAAUUUUGCUGCAGAAUCUUCAUUUGCUAUUUGAUGUUUGCUUAAAUGAGAAUUGAUUUUUCAUCUAUUUGUAAUCUUGCUCAGGGUUAGGGAUGUAAGCACGACUAUUUGUGCAUACAUGUGCAAGUCUUCAUACUCAUUUCUCACAUUCUGUUGGCUCAACUUUGAUGAGGGGAACUGAGUAUGAAGUAGUAAAAGGGAAAAAGAGAAGGGAAGGGGAUGGGCUGUUUUCAUGUAGAGAGGAAAUGCAAAUUUUAGUUAGGAGGUGUUAUCUUUUUAAGAUGUUGUAUUUUGAGGUUUUCCUUCAAAAUCUUGAGGGGUAAUUACUAUGUGGUCCGUAGGGUUUGGUCAAAUAUACUAGUAAGGAUCUUGGUUUCUAAAUUGCAUUAUCUAGUCCUUGCAUUAUGUACCUGUUACACUAUAACGUACUUCCAUUAAAAAUUUUAUAAUUUUCUGCUAGUCAAUCUUAUUUUAGUAAAACAUUAAGUAAGUCGAAUAAAAAUAUUUGAAGUUACAAAAACAUCCUUCCACUAUAGAACUUUAAGCUUUGGGUUUCUCCAAAUUCAUAUUUUACUCUGUUUUUUAAUUAUUUUAUUAUUUUCCCUUACUCAACACUAUUCAUCUUCCUCUUAUUAUUGGCGACAUUUUUGGCAUUUCACAGUCACUUGAUGAAAAAACUAACAGUUGGACCAAUUAAUAUAACAAAUUGACAAUUGAAUAACUUGAUGGUGUAAUUUUGAAAAUUGAGGUCCUUAUUAGUGUAUUUGAUCAAACGUAGGGACUAAAUAGUAAUAACCCCAAAUCUUGACUGCAUCAAAAUGAAAGUUUUGGUAAUACUUUGGAGAAUUUUUGCCCUCCCUGUUCAUUUUCCAUUUCUCCUUUUCCUUAUCAACUCUAGACUGAAAUAGGUAAAGUGAGGUAAGUCAACAUUUUCCCUCACCCUCCAGCCCCCAGACCCCUUCUCACAUUUCUAUGCACAUCUAGUGAGUUGCUUUAAAUAUAUGCUUUCUGUUUACUAGGCUUCAUGGUGUCAAAUGUGCAUAGCUUUUGUUGAUUUCUAAGAAGUUGUUUCUGUGGUUUGAAGUUAUGAAUAAUGGGGCAAUCUUCUGGCAUUAAGCUUCUUAUUAUUGGUUUAGUAACAUUUGUUAGCUAAUCCUAAACCCUAAACUGUAACCCUUUUUCUUCAAACUUUUAGUAGGCUGAUUUCGAGAUAUUGGCUGCCUCUAUCUGCUAUUUUACAUCCUCUUCCGAAUAAGCUGUAGAAAUGAUAGAAGGAUUCAGUAGAUCAAGCAAUCUGAUCAAUUUUUUGUUUUGUUAAAUUGUUUUGAGAUUUUGUUUGGUAAGUUAUUAGUUGCAUGAUGCAGUUUCAGGCUCAUUGAUCUAGUUGUAUCCCAAAUAAUGUUCUGUCCCUUUUAUAUUGUUGUCUCAUAUGUUCAAUAGAUCUUUGGACAAUGAUAAACUGAUUCACUUUAUCUGGUAGGUUAUGGCCUUGACUCAAACUCAACUUGACGAGGCUAUGAAGCCUGCACAGUUUGAUUCACAUUCUUCUGUUGGAGAUCCUUCUAAAUCAGUUAGCGAGUCAAGCUUGCCAGCAUCUUCCAUCUUGACUAAGGACAAGUCAUUUUCCUCCACUGCGAGCCCGAUCAAUUCAUUGCUUGCAGGAGAGAAAAUUCAAUUCGGUGGGAACAUAUCUCCUGCAAAAUCAUUUGUAUUCUUAAGAUUGUUAGUUACAUUAUCUGAAGUAUUUCGUUCCUGUUAUCUUCAGGUGCUGUUACAUCUCCUACAAUACUUCCUUCUAGCAGCCGUGCUGUUUCCCAUGGGAUUGGCCCUCCGGGUCCAUGUCGGUCUGACAUUCAAAUUUCUCACAAUCUUUCUGCAGCUGAAAGUGAUUGCUCUCUUUUCUUUGAAAAAGAAAAACACUCUGAUGAAUCGUGUGCUCAUUUAGUCGAUUGUGAAGCUGAAGCUGAAGCAGCUGCUUCAGCUAUUGCUGUUGCUGCCAUAAGCAGUGAUGAGAUUGUUGCAAAUGGGCUGGGUACAGGUCCUGUCUCUGCUGCAGAUUCCAAAAACUUUGGUGUAACAGAUAUUGAUGGUAUUACAGCAGGUGGCUAUUUUUCUCUGCAACUUUUGUAGGGUUACACUUCUGAAUCCUAUAAGGAUUUUUAAGAUGAUGUUAUUCUUAACCAUAUUCUAUCUUUGGCAGGUGUAUCUGGUGAUCAACAAUCAUCCAGUCAAUCAAGAGCUGAAGAGUCCCUAAGUGUUGCUCUUCCUGCUGAUCUUUCUGUUGAGACACCACCGAUAUCUUUGUGGCCAGCGUUACCAAGUCCGCAGAAUUCUUCUAGCCAGAUGCUUUCUCAUGUUCCUGGAGGUCCGACUUCCCAUUUCCCUUUCUAUGAGAUGAAUCCAAUGUUGGGAGGACCCAUCUUUGCUUUUGGGCCACAUGACGAGUCAGCAUCUAACCAAACACAGGCCCAGAAGAGCAAUACAUCAGUUUCAGGUCCACUUGGAACCUGGCAACAUCAUUCUGGUGUAGAUUCAUUCUAUGGUCCUCCAGCAGGUUUCACUGGCCCUUUUAUCAGUCCUCCUGGAAGCAUCCCUGGAGUUCAAGGUCCACCACACAUGGUUGUGUAUAAUCAUUUUGCGCCAGUUGGACAGUUUGGACAAGUUGGUUUGAGUUUUAUGGGUACCACCUACAUCCCAUCUGGGAAGCAACCUGAUUGGAAGCAUAACCCUGCAUCUUCUCCCAUGGGUGUCAGUGAAGGGGACAUGAAUGGUUUGAACAUGGUUUCUGCACAACGCAAUCCCACUAACAUGCCUACUCCUAUCCAACACCUUGCUCCUGGGUCACCUCUCUUGCCUAUGGCAUCUCCUUUGGCCAUGUUUGAUGUUUCUCCUUUCCAGGUAAAAAUUAUAGAUUUGUCGUCUGAAAAAUUAUUCUAGCUGCCAAAAUGGUAAUUACUUUUUCUUAGAAAGGGAAAUGGUUGUGUGCUUGAUCAUUGAGAUGUGGAAGAUGCUGAUGUAGUAGGAAUAUGCAUAUUCCGCAGUGAGCGCAUGUGCAAAAUUCCUGUUGAAUGAAGCCAUUUUAUGUGCUUUCUGAUCCCCCUUGUUUUUUGCUCUUUUGAAAUAGAAAUUAGUUUUCUUUGCUUGGUGGGUUAUUAAAAUUGUUUUAGAGGUUUGGUUUGAGGGUUUGUUGAAUGAAAUUCUUCAGAGGCUGGCAAUAUUAAUUUUUUUAUAAGAUGUGACAUUGAUGUUUAUGGAAUAGCCUAUACUGACCCUAGUGGUUUGAUUAAAAUUGUUGUGUCCAGUCCUCUGCUGACAUGUCGGUCCAAGCUCGAUGGUCGCAUGUCCCUGCAUCACCUCUUCAAUCGGUUCCUGCGUCAAUGCCAUUGCAGCAGAAGGCAGAAGGUGCACUGUCUUCUCAGUUUAAUCAUGGCCCAGCUGUUGAUCAAUCAUUAGGUAACAGAUUCCAGGAGCCCCGAACGAGCACAACCUCUGACAAUCAGAACUUCCCAACAGCUACUGAUGCAACCGUCACCCAGUUGCCUGAUGAACUUGGGUUGGUGGACUCAUCGAGUUCCACGAGUGCUGGUGCUCCAACACAGAGCAUUGUCAUUAAGUGCCCUUCUGCUAGUGCUAUCUCAGGCACUGGCAAGACAGAUGCGCUGCUGAAUGGCAGUGGGACCAGCAGCAGCAGCGACCAGAGUACAAAUUCUGCUUUCAAGACACAAUCUUCCCAUCAGAAGAGUAUGUCUACCCAGCAUUACAAUAAUUCAUCCGGGUAUAAUUAUCAAAGGGGUGGUGGAGUUUCUCAGAAGAAUAAUUCUGGGAUUGAGUGGCCUCACCGUAGGAUGGGAUACCAAGGAAGGAACCAAUCCUUAGGUGCUGAAAAGAGCUUUCCUUCUUCAAAGAUGAAGCAGAUUUAUGUAGCUAAACAGACUUCAAAUGGGGCAUCGACGACGUCGUGAAGAGAAAAGGAAAUGAGCAUCUUAGAUUUAAAGGUUGAAAGCAUUAGGACUGAAGCAUCUUUCCGGUGAAAAUUUUGUUUUUGGUUUUUAUAAAUUUUUGGCAAGGGGAGAUUUGAAAUUUUAGUGGUCUAUAAGAAUUGAUAUGCCAGUCUUUUGAAGGAGCUUUUCUGGAGCUGGCUGAGCACACGUCUGUUUUGGAUCUUGAUUUACAGAGUCUUGGUGCUACUAUCUCAAGUUCCUGUGUGUUAGUUAGGGUGUUUAUCCACAUCAUUUUUUUAGUGCCUUCUUUGUUGCCUGCACAAACCUAAUUGUAAUUCCUUGGGAUUCAUAUAUUAAUGUUUAGUAAAAAUCCAGCUGAUGUGUUUUUCACACUACUGUUUGUAAUGAUAAAUAUAUAUAUAUAUAUAUAUAUGACAAGAAGACAUUUCUGCCCUUGCAUUACCAUGUAAAGUGUCUGAUAAAGUAACGGCCCGCAUUCCAAAAAGUAAGAGCCGGAAGAGACGAUGGCCCCCGGAAUUUGGAUUAGGCCUUUGUUUUCUAAUUGCAUCUAUUUUUCACUCACUUUCUUUAUAUUGAUAUACAAAUAAAUGUGAAGUUAUUGAACAAUUUAUACCUAUAAUUUACUAGAUUGAUCUGAUUUGUUAACAUCAAACCACUUUUUUAAAAAUAAAAAUACUAGAUUGAUCUAUUUUAUUAACAUCAAACAAUUAUUCAAAAAUAAAAAUUUAUUCCAUCAUAAGUAAUUGUUUUUCCAUACAAUCUUUUAAUAAAUUAAUUAUGUUUUUUGAAUCCUAAAUUUUAUCUACCUUAAAAUUUGCUAAUUUUUUUUUAUUUAUAUAAGUGAAGUCCAAUAUGAGUUUAUAUCAUUAUACUUUGUGGGUGUACAAUUAUAAAUUUUUAAAUAAUACAGUUAUAAUUUAUCCAAUUUGUUUUGAUUAUCAUGUAUUCUAAAAAUACAAAAUUAUUAAUGGCUAUUUUUUUUCUUUUAUUAUAUUGCAACAUAUAAUAGUAACUACAAUAAGAAAAAAUAUAUUUUAGUCUUAUUGCCAUUUUAAAUUUUUUUUUUACAAGAAAUUUGCUUAUAAGAAAAGUAAAAAUUCAUAAGAAAUUUGUGAAAUGUAACAUAUAAGUUAUUAAAAAUUAUACCACUUGGUAGAGUUUAAGAAAUUUAGAUGUGUAAAAUAUUUACACAACCAUGCCUGUUAAGUUAUAAGUCUUUUUACACCAAAAAUAUAUAUUUAUAUAUAUAUACAAUAUUUAGAAUUAUCACAUAGUAUUCACCACCCAACCUAUUUAAAAUUUGUUAAUACUUUAUUCAUUUUUUUCAAGAUAUGUUAAAAAAUAUUUUCAUUUUAAUAAAAAAAUUAUUUUUCAUUUAUUUCGCCCAUAAACAGCCUAUAGGCAAAUCAAUCCUUUGUCAAGUCAAAGUCAAACACACGACUGCCCGUCGUAUACAAAAAGUUAAACUUUGGUUUUCUUUUCGAAACUUCCUUCAUCCAAAGUCGACAAAUGGCCCUUUUAUUAGAUUUUUUUUUCCGUUUUUGUCUUCUUCUUAAAGUCAAAUGCUACACUUUCCUCAUCCUGAUAGUAACGGAACAAAUUCUCUGUUACAUGCGCAUAUCAGAAAGUGGGGACACAGCGCGGGAAUGUUAUAUGCGGCGUAAGGAGACCAAUUAAUAUUUUCCAAUAUGAACAUUUUCAACGAAGAUAUUUUUUUAAAAUAUGCAAUUACCCGCGUAAUAUUUUCCAUCCCUGCCCUUGCAUUACCAUGUAAAGUGUCUGAUAAAGUAACGGCCCGCAUUCCAAAAAGUAAGAGCCGGAAGAGACGAUGGCCCCCGGAAUUUGGAUUAGGCCUUUGUUUUCUAAUUGCAUCUAUUUUUCACUCACUUUCUUUAUAUUGAUAUACAAAUAAAUGUGAAGUUAUUGAACAAUUUAUACCUAUAAUUUACUAGAUUGAUCUGAUUUGUUAACAUCAAACCACUUUUUUAAAAAUAAAAAUACUAGAUUGAUCUAUUUUAUUAACAUCAAACAAUUAUUCAAAAAUAAAAAUUUAUUCCAUCAUAAGUAAUUGUUUUUCCAUACAAUCUUUUAAUAAAUUAAUUAUGUUUUUUGAAUCCUAAAUUUUAUCUACCUUAAAAUUUGCUAAUUUUUUUUUAUUUAUAUAAGUGAAGUCCAAUAUGAGUUUAUAUCAUUAUACUUUGUGGGUGUACAAUUAUAAAUUUUUAAAUAAUACAGUUAUAAUUUAUCCAAUUUGUUUUGAUUAUCAUGUAUUCUAAAAAUACAAAAUUAUUAAUGGCUAUUUUUUUUCUUUUAUUAUAUUGCAACAUAUAAUAGUAACUACAAUAAGAAAAAAUAUAUUUUAGUCUUAUUGCCAUUUUAAAUUUUUUUUUUACAAGAAAUUUGCUUAUAAGAAAAGUAAAAAUUCAUAAGAAAUUUGUGAAAUGUAACAUAUAAGUUAUUAAAAAUUAUACCACUUGGUAGAGUUUAAGAAAUUUAGAUGUGUAAAAUAUUUACACAACCAUGCCUGUUAAGUUAUAAGUCUUUUUACACCAAAAAUAUAUAUUUAUAUAUAUAUACAAUAUUUAGAAUUAUCACAUAGUAUUCACCACCCAACCUAUUUAAAAUUUGUUAAUACUUUAUUCAUUUUUUUCAAGAUAUGUUAAAAAAUAUUUUCAUUUUAAUAAAAAAAUUAUUUUUCAUUUAUUUCGCCCAUAAACAGCCUAUAGGCAAAUCAAUCCUUUGUCAAGUCAAAGUCAAACACACGACUGCCCGUCGUAUACAAAAAGUUAAACUUUGGUUUUCUUUUCGAAACUUCCUUCAUCCAAAGUCGACAAAUGGCCCUUUUAUUAGAUUUUUUUUUCCGUUUUUGUCUUCUUCUUAAAGUCAAAUGCUACACUUUCCUCAUCCUGAUAGUAACGGAACAAAUUCUCUGUUACAUGCGCAUAUCAGAAAGUGGGGACACAGCGCGGGAAUGUUAUAUGCGGCGUAAGGAGACCAAUUAAUAUUUUCCAAUAUGAACAUUUUCAACGAAGAUAUUUUUUUAAAAUAUGCAAUUACCCGCGUAAUAUUUUCCAUCCGUGGUCCCUGGUCAAAGGGGAAGUCGAUGACAAAAGUGGUCUCACAUCACAUUUGACAUUCCACUCAGUUCAGAAAAAGAAAAUGACAUUUAACAAAGAGAGACUUGACUUUUUGUUUCUUAGAUGCUUCCUCGUGGCGCAUGGUCUGUAUUCUGUAAUUUAAAAGGAAAAUGCUUACCACUGUAAUACAUUUAAAUGUUCUGCAACAGUUCUAUCUUACAUUUACGUAGAGUUUUAUCUUCCUCUGCAACUACUUUGGUACACGUUUUCUCCUGUAUUUUUCCUUUGUGUUUGCUUACUUGGGUGUCAUGUCAUCGGAUAAUAUUUCUGAAGACUUUACGUUCUAUCGUGCCUUUCGCUCUCUCACUUCUCUUGCCUUUCUGAAGAUUUGCGCUUAGUUAUUAUUCCUCCAUCAACCCCAUAUAUAGCAAGUCAACGCCAGGUCUUAGGUUUUCAAUUCGCAGCAGUCAAACUCGAGAAAGCACUUUCUUCUUUUUGGAAAAGUAGGAAAGAAAUACAUUAGCUUAGACAAAAUCCGGGGUAAAACCCCACAAAUAUCAUGAAGAAGAAAAGUGCUAAUGGCCCAUUCUCUAAACCGAUGACCUUCUAUUAUUGCAAAUGCGGAUAUUCAUUUCUAUUUUUCUAAUCAGCAAAUAAUAUUUUAAUUUAUUAAUAUAUAUAUAUAUAUAUAUACACACAUAUAGUCAUGAAAAAUUUAAUAUAACUCAUAACUAAACCCUGGCCAGUAGGCUCUCCAGAUACACCCCUAGCUACCUCAUUGAAAAUCCUGUAAAAAUACAUCACAAAAAGAUUAUCACAACAACAAGAUAAAAGCUAAUAAGUAUAAUCCAAAAGAUAAGCCCAAGCCAAAAUACAAGUUAAACCAGAAAACGAGGGAGGUUUUACUUGCAUUUCUAUUAAACAGAGGUCGCGACAGUUUUUCUUGCAUUUGGAAACGUGUUUAAUCUUCUAUCAUCAUCGAAUCUAUUGAAUCAUCUUCCUCUGCAACUACUUUACUACUGCUUUCUCCUGCAUUUUUAUAUUUUUCCAUCUUUUCGUUAUUUUUGCUUGUUUGUGCGUAAUCAGAUAAUGGGAAGUUUGUUUUGGCUUUGUUUCCACGAAACUUAAUUGCAGCAGUAUCAUAAGCUCGUGCAGCCUCCUCUGCCGUGCUGAAAGUACCGAGCCACACGCGAAUUGCCCGCCACGGGUCACGUAUCUCCGCCGCCCAUUUCCCCCAUGGCCUUUGUCUGACUCCCCUGUACUUGUUCUUCUUCUUAUUCAUUCUUUCCUUGUUACUAUCAUCUUUCUCUUCUUGGUUAGACCCGAAGAAAUUGCAGCCGAGACAGUCAACUGAAUCCAUGUUACAGACGGGGCAUUUGUCAGAACCUUGGAGAAUAUGAAUAAUGUUGGGCGGAGCUAUUGAUGACGUGUCACCAGAAAUCACCUGUUUUAAAGCGGCAACCAUGAUGGAGUCUUCUUCUUCGCUGGUUAAACGAUUUAUAUUUGUGGUGAUGUUCAUCUUUUUCGUCUUAACUUUCAAGAGGUUUCGCUACCAGUAACUGGAGAGAAGACGAGUGGGCGGGAAGCGUUUAAAUAUUAAUACUGGAAUGCCAGCUGACAAAUGGACAACUUUUACACGCAACUCUAUCUCCACAAGUGAGCAGAAACUGCAAUUAGUGGAGCCCAAGGUGGUCCCACUCUAUAAAGCUUAAAAUUAUUAUUUUUAGUAUUAUCAUUGGCUCCAUGGCUUACGUAGGGUCGUUUUGCUGAUAAUAUGAUUGCCGGUAGCUUGUAGCUUAGCUUCGGAUACAAUUUUAAUAGCGGUUAAAAUUUUCAAUAAUAAUUAAAGUAUAAUUAUUUUUUAUAUUAUAGUAUAUAAUAUAUAAUAUUUUUAAUUUUAAAGAUUGAAUAUGUUAUUUUUUAUUUUAGUAUGUUAUUUAAAUAAAAAAUACUAAUUAAAUUUUUUAAAAAUAAUAUUAUAUAAACUUUAUUAUUUUUAAUGAAUUAUAAAUAAAAUAUUAAUCUGAAAAAUUGUAAUUCUAUUAUAAUUAUUUUUAUAUGGUUAAUGAAAUUCAACAAUAAUAUAAAUAUAAAUUAGCUGCCAUUUUAUAAAAAAAUUUCAAAAUAUAGCUGAUAGAAUUAGUUGAAGAUUGAAAUCUUUAUCCAACACUUACAGUAUAGUUAAUGGGUACGAAUUAAAUAUCAACUGCAUGCAGGGGUGCAAAUUGGUUGGAAUCGUAGCCAUUCAAAUCAAAUUUCAAUUUGGAACGGGAUUUUGGAGGUUCACCGACCCUUAGAUAGCGGAGCCGUUGGCACGCAACGGCCCUCAUAAAGUCUCUGCACUGUACUGAAAACUCCCGUAACGGGUGUGGAUACUCGCUGUUACCUUCAUGGAAUCGUUUUCACAAACAAUAAUGAAAUUAAAGAACGGCUUGUCGGCAACUGAAUCCAUCUUGUCUAGCUAUUCUCCAUCUUACAUCAAACUGUACUUGCUAGCUAUUCCAUUCCCUGUUGCUUUUUGGAUCAACAUUCUUCCACAUUAGAGUCAUUGCAUGAUUUCAUCACGCGUUUUUUAUGCAGAUUCAAUGUUCAGAAAAGAAAACUGAACUGUAUCCUGGUACUUUUCUUAAUCUUCUUUCUUCUAUACUAGACCUUACUCUAUUCGCAUCUCUCCACCGUCCAGCUGAUGCGUACAUACUAGAAAGCAUAACGUAUGAUCCUGAAUUUUCUGGGUCCAUUUCAAAUAUCAUCCCGCUAAUUUUCUCCCCAAGUUCGACAUCGUCAUGGAUUUUACACGCACCCAAUAAUGAUUCGAGUAGGCUAAUUGAUGGCUUACAUUUUAGCUUCUUAACAAUGGCAAAAGCCUCUCUCAAGUGACCUGUUCUGCCAAGUAGGUCCACUAUGCAGGCAUAAUGCUCCAUUUCUGGUGAUAUCCCCUGCUCUAUCAUUGAAUUGAAGACUAUCCAACCUUGCUCGACUAAACCAGCAUGGCUGCAAGCUGAUAAAAUACUCGAAUAAGUAAUUUUGUCGGGUCUCAUGCCUGAAAAUUGCAUCUGCCAGAAAAGUUCAAGGGCAGCUUUGCCUUCCCCAUGCAUACCAUAUGCAUUAAUCAUCACACUCCAAGAUACAGCAUCCUUUUCAAGCAAGCUCUCAAACAUCUUUCUAGCAGCUGAAAUAUUUCCACAUCUUGCAUUUACGUCUAUAAGCGCAUUGCUGAUAGCCAUAUCUUUGUCAAAUCCUUUGCGUACAACAUAGGCCAUUACAGAAUCAGCAAGUUUUAGGCUAUUUAAUUGAGCAUAUGCCGAAAUUAAACUUAAAACUGUUACAUUGUCAGGUUGCAAGCCCAUUCGAAGGAGAUCACAGAAUAGUGCAACUGCUUUUUCGGCAUUCUUUGUUUGGAUAUGCACAGAAAGAAUAGCAUUCCACAAAGAUAUAUCUGUCUUUUUGCUCAUUUCAAAUAGAAAAUGACACGUAUUCACCUUUGCAAAUCUAGCAUACAUGAACACCAGAGAUGUAAGAAGAGGAGUUUCUUGUGAAAUUCCUGCUCUUAUUGCAAAAGCGUGAAUAGACUUACCCUGCAGUUGUCCACAGCAUAGAGGCAAUAGAUUUAGCAAAGUUACCGAAUUUGGCCUCCAACCCUCAUUUAUCAUUCGUUUAAAGCUAGUCAAAACCUCAUUCUGGAGGUUGUUAACUCGAUACCCUCCAAUAAGGGCAUUCCAAGACACUACAGACCUUCUGGGCAUAACUUCAAAUAGUAAUCUCCCUGUAUCUAGAUCUCCACAUUUACAAUACAUGGUAAUAAGUGCAUUGGCCAAGGAAAUGUCAGAGGAAAACCCAUUUUUUAUAGCAUAACCAUGAAGAGUCAUCCCUUGACCCAAAUUUUCACUGUCACGGUACAUGGGGAGAAUGCUUAUCAGGGUCACCAAAUCCAAUGCCAAUCCUUCUUUCUGCAGCAGAUGAAGAAGUUCAACUGCCUUGUCCACUUCUACACUGUGCACACAUCUAGAUAUCAAAGUGUUCCACGACACAGAAUCUCGGUUGUCCAUUUUGAAAAACAGAUUAAAGGAAGAGGCAAGAUCAUUACAAUCAGAGUAAAAUGUGAGGAGUGCAUUUGACACAAUAAGGCUUGAGUUGAUUCCCAUUCUGAUGCUAAAUGCGUGAGCAGACUUGCCUAGCAAAAUGGCCUCAAGUUUGGAGCAGGCAGAAAGGACACUAGUUAUUGACACUACAUCUGGAAUGAAUCCACAUAAUUGCAUUUCGCAAAAUGCUGCCAAACUUGCAUCCCACAGCCCAUUAUGCACAUAUCCAGAGACCAUCACAUUCCAUGAUAAGAGGUUUCUAUUAGGCAUCCUUUCAAAAAGGAAUUCAGCUUUACUGAUAUCACCAAGCUUGGCAUACAUGGACACCAAGGCUGCUAAUACAGAAAUAUGAUUUUCUGAUCCAUGUUUUAUAACACAAGCAUGAAAGGAUUCACCAAAUGAGAUACUACCAACAAACUCACAUGAAGAAAUAAUAGACACAAAAGUGACUGAAUCAGACUGCACACCAGCAUAGUGCAUUUCUUGAAAUAUAUUAAAUGCUUCAAAAGGCAACUGCUUUUGCAUGUAAGCUGCAAUCAUAGAAUUCCAAACAGCAACAUCCUUCUCCUGCAAAAGAUCAAACAAUGUUUUUGCAGCAGACAAAUGCACAUCACUAGCAUACAUUGAUAUUAAAGCAGGCACCAAAAAAUCAUUCACAAGAUAUCCGGACUUGAUAGCAAAGCCAUGGAAACAUCUUCCAAUAUCCAAACAUCCUAAACGGGUGCAUAUUGGAAUUACACUAGCCAGAGUACUCAAAUUAGGCUUCAAACCCGAUAAAACCAUAUGCUUGAAAACCGCAAGAGCUUCAUGAUCACACCCAUUAAAAGAAUAACCUGAAACCAAAGCAUUCCAAGAAACCAAGUCUGGUUGGGGAAUUCUAUCAAUCAGAACACGCGCAGUUCCCAUAUAACCAUUUUUCGCAUAAAAAUCAACCAGAGCAGUUUGGAUGACAACAUUUUGAUCAUACCCAGUUCGCAAAACAAUACAAUGAAGUAUUUUUCCAAUCUUUAAAGCAUUAAGAGCCGAACAAGCCUUGAUCACAGAAGGAAACGUAAAAUCAUCAGACGGAUAACUCAAACUCCGACACUUGAAAUAAACGGACAAGACAGUUUCGUGCAACCCGUAAUUGCAAAGACCCCUAAUCACCAAAUUUUGUAGAAACACGUUUGGUUUUCUUAUUGUAUUGAAGGAAGAGAGAGCUAUAUCUAAGGCACCCACAUGAAAACAAGCCUUUAAAAGUUCUUUAAGCAAACCCUUCUGCUCAAUUAGACCAUGGACUACAAGAAGAGACGUGAGAGACUUGAGGUGAUUGACGUUUUUACAAAAGGGAAAGAAAUUUGAGAAGUUAAUGGUUUUGGAUUUGAAAGAAUGAUACAUUGAAGGUUUGUGUUUGAAAGAUCGGAUAGUGGUGUAGAAACGACAAAUAACUGUCGAGAGAUUUAGGAAAGAGUUUCGAGAGAGGAAUAUCCAUGAAAGGUUCAAAGUUAUUACAUGGUUAGCAAUUGCUAGCUUAUAUGAGAAGCUCUGCCUUUCCCGCCAUUACUGCAGAUGUUCUUAUAUGAGUUUGCUGGAGAGGCUUUUUUUGGAAUGAAUUACAGAAACUUAGCGCGUGACAUUAGAGUAAAAUCCAACAGACACUCAGAGUGAGUUAAAACCGUUGCAAAUUGGCAAGGCGCGGUGGUCCACAUUUACUCUUUUGCCCUUAUUUUUUAAUCUUUUAAUGUUUAUUAAUUAUUAUGAUAUAUAAGAAAUAGAGAGUAUAUAUAAAAAUAGCAGAUAGAAUAAGAGAGAGGAAAGAGAAAUAAAUUUCUAGUAUUAGAAUAUUAGUUUCACAAUUUAAAUAAUGAAGCAACUAUUUAAAUGAUACAAAAUAUUAUCCAAAAGACAUAACUUUACACCUUAAACAAUAUAAUCAUUCGUUCUAAAUGAUGCAAUCUUACAAAUUAAAUGAUAUAAACAUUCAUCUUAAAUAAUAUAACCUUUUAUUCUAAAAGAUAUAACUUUCGGAAAAAUAAAUAAUUUUCUUAAUAAACUUAAUGGACAUCAAUUAUAUUAUAUAAUUUUAUAACAUUAAUUAUUAUUCACUUUUUAUGCAUAUUUUUUGUUAUGUGAUAUACAGUAAAUUGAGUUGAAUGAAAUAGAUGAAGGAAGUAGAUAUUGUCGCCCAUGAUUCGGAAUGGCAUGGAAACGAUUUUUUCAAUUGGAAUAAGGAUCAAUUUUUUCUCUGAAAAUUUAAUUGUAUUAAAUUUAUUUUUUUAUCAUUUGUCCCUCACGUGUGCGGUAGUUAAAAAAUAAAUCAAAUUAAUUUUCUGACUGAAAUUUUUUUAUUAAAAUCAACUUAAAAGAUUGAGUAAAUUACAUUGCCAAUAAAUUUAAAAGCAAAUUGUACAUUAUUCUGUAUGAGUGUGUGUGUUUGACUCUUUUGUAAAAUACAAAAAUAUUUAAAAAAAAAAAAAAAUUGUGACCCUCAAAUAUCUCUAUUAAGAAAAACAACUAGAAGAGCAUAACAUUAGAUUUUUUUUUUUUUUUUUUUUUUUUUUCCUCCUUUUAUCCAACCUUGGGCUAACAAAAGCUGUUUUUNNNNNNNNNNNNNNNNNNNNNNNNNNNNNNNNNNNNNNNNNNNNNNNNNNNNNNNNNNNNNNNNNNNNNNNNNNNNNNNNNNNNNNNNNNNNNNNNNNNNNNNNNNNNNNNNNNNNNNNNNNNNNNNNNNNNNNNNNNNNNNNNNNNNNNNNNNNNNNNNGCUGCAUUUAUUCAAGCUGUGGCUAACUAAAGCUGUCUUUGGUAAGUCCAUGAAAUUCAAUAUUAUCUUCAGAUGUGAACUUGUGAACUAAUGAACAUAAUAAACAGAAAAUGAAACGCUAUUUAAAUUACUCAAAACAGUCAACAUAUAGAGAAGCUACAACAUCAACAUACGUCCAAUAUAGAAAAACUACACGCAAAUCUUUUUUCCUUUUUUCUUUUGAAUAUUUUUAUUUCUACAAAUAUACUAUAGCUACUGCAUGCCCUCAACCAAAGAUCCCAUUAAAAUAGUGCAGAAGCUCAUUCUAGUAUCCAUAUGUUGUCCUCUUCAUCAUCCUCAUAAAAUCGUCAAAGCCCACUUCUCCAUCACCUGUACAUUUCAUAAACCAUUACAUUUCUCACUAGAAGAUUUGACGAGUAUCUCAAACUUACAUAAUUAGUACUGAAAAGAAUUGCUUGCGAAAAUGAUAACCUCAGACUUAUAAAAUUAAACUUCUCACGAACACAUUGCAACGACCUAAUGACACACACACGGAAGCGAGCCCCAAAGACCACAUUAACAUAUACAUCUGUGCAUAUAAAGAGUACAGUAAACCAAUAGAUACCAAACAACAAACUAGAACUCCUAUGAAAAACUGAAUAGGAAUUCUUAUAUGUUGCACCUAAGGACAAGGGUGCAUUGCGAAUCCAGUAAGAACAAGUAACCACAAACACACAAAGUGCUAAGACAAAUUUAUAAUUCAAAACAUUUUUCUUAAAAUAAAACAAAGCAUUCCUAUAUGCAUUUGUCUAAAGAGGUCAGUUCCUACUUAGGUUCUGAACACAAAAGUCCUGGGAUUCUAUCUGUGGAGCACAAGAAUUUAACAGUGGAACACUAAAAAGGCCCAGCAGCCCUGCAAAUUAAAAUGCUGCUGAUACAGCAGCUUGGAAAUCAAGAUUACUAUGACUUUACCCUAGAUAAAACUACAACAGAUAAUCUGGUAAUUAGAGUCAUAUACGGCUUAGGUCCACAAACAGGACAGUUUUGAAACCAAAUCAACAUUGCAUUGACAAAUCACAGGGGGUGGUCAACUUAAGGCCCUCCUCCCCACUCCAAACUCCCCGCAGAAUAGGUGAAAAUAUCAUUAGCAAUGCAUUUGAAAUAGUCUGAUCAGACUAAUAUUCAAAAGUAUCUCCAACAAUUUCAUGACAAUUGAUUAUAACACAACUGAUCAGAUAAUGAAUUUUUCUCAGUGUUAUUACAUUUGCUUUAUGACUUUGACUGUAACUUUUAAGCAAAAAAUAUCAUAAAGCUACUGAGAAAAAAGGUGCUUCCAUGGUUAUAAAAGAAGGCCAUUUAUUCCAUCAUUUGAACAACCAAAUUCAAAAUUUGACUUCCAAACGAAAAUAUAAGUGAUUAACAGCUCGAUCAAUGUCAGAGAUACUGUGAAGAACAAAUAAGAAAAAGGAAAUACUUUCAUCCUCCUUAUUUCUUCUAUGCUACUAAGUUCUUAUGUUGUGAAAAAAUUGAGAGAGAAAAUCUUCCAAACACAGCAUCCCUUCUUGGGAACUACAAAAGUAACUAAAGAAAACAGAAGGCACACAAUUUAUAGGGUAUUAUUGUUUUAUAAGAAUGACCAAAUUGAGCAAAGAUGAUAAUAGACGCAUGCAAUUAGAGAAAAGAAAUUAUAUCAAUCACAGAAAAUGAGAAAUUAGUGCAAUUCAGGAGAUAAUGAAUCGAAAAUACAAUUUUAACCUAAACACCAUCAAUGGGGACAGAUCUAGCAUGGGGCGAUGGGGGCACUUGCCCCCAGUGCCUCCAUAUAAUUCUCAUGACAUGUAUAUUAAUAUAUUUUUUUUUUAACUUAAUAUUAUGUACAUUUGCCUCAACUUAAAUAUUUUAAUUUCCCCCCAUAAUUGUUUUUCACUACACUAAUUUUAGUUUAAUAUUGCAUUUAUUGUGUACAAAGACUAAUUAGUGAAAUUUGAAUUGAACAAAACUUUUUGCUUAACCUUUUAAUCUAAUAAAUUCCAACAUAUAACAUGUUAUUAUUUUUCGUUUUGACUUGUGUGGCCGAUUUAUUUAUCUUUUAAAUAAAACUAUCCAUUUAAGAUAACCCGCUCAUAUACAUUCUAAAUUUAACUUUAAUUUAUUUCUAGGAACAAAUUAUACAUGUGUUUGUGUGGAUGUUGCCCCAACCAUUAUGAAUUUCUAGAUCUCUCCAUGAAUAGUUCCUACAAACUCGAUCCAAAACAUAAACAGAAAAACAUACCAUCUCGGUCAGCUUCCCCAACCAUCUCUUGUAUCUCUCUGUCAGUGAAGUUCUCGCCCAGCUCCUUUGCUAUUCUCUUUAUGUCAUCAACAGAUAUGCUUCCCUAAAUCAAGCAAAUGAAAAAAUAAGUUACUGAGAAUAAGAAACUAAACUUAAGGACAAAUGAAAAAAAAAAAAAUCACUCACAUUGUUAUCCUGGUCAAUGAUGUGGAAUGCUUUUGUGAGCUCCUCCUUAGUGUCUCUUUCUCCAAUCUUGGCCGUCAUCAUAUGCUCAAAUUCAUCAUAGUCAAUUGCACCACUGCCAUCCUUGUCUACAUCUGCAAUCAUUUGAUUAAUUUGCUGCAAUGUCACAUUUAAGGAUAUGUAAGCUUUGCAGUUAAGUUCCGUGAAACAGAAUUUGGAAUGAAAGGAUACUAUCAUGCUUACAAAUUGUAAAGAAUGUAAAUCGGCUGGGAAUUUUAUUUUUUCUUAUUGUUCUAAAAUGAACAGUGAAUGAGAAAAGAAUAUCAGAGUGGGAUGUACUCCAGUCUCACACCACGGGCACAAAAAAUAGGAAAAAAGAAACAGUAGAAUAUUAUUUGUGACCAGUGGGAAAUACAGAAAUGACAAAUAUGUUCAUAUACUAAGGCAUAGAAAGUACCUCUUCUGUCAUUUCGAAACCGAGUGCCCUGUUAUAACAUUAGUUUAGUUCCAGUAUUUUCAUGGCUCAAAAUUUUGAACAAUUUUAGCAGAUCUGAAGAGAUAUUCAUACCUCAUGGCAACAUUCAGCUCUUUAGCAUCGAUAGUUCCUGGACAACACAGUCUAACAAAUGAAUAACAGAAUUAAGUACAUAACAAGGACAAAUAGCAAAAAAUAUUUUCAGUACCUGAGCCAUCAGUAUCGAAUAACUCGAAUGCUUCCUUAAUUUCUUGUUUCUUCUGCUGACUUAAACCAUGAUGACGUCCUCUAGGUUUAUCUUUCCUCGAUACUCCUCUGUAAAGAGGUGCCUGUUGAGGUAUAAUGCAUGAAAAAGCAAUCAUCAAAAAAGCAAUUCAAUGAAUUAAAGAAAUCAUCCAACUUGUAUUAACAUUUCCAACAAGAAAAUAUUAUCUUAAUCCGGUGCUCAAUUCUUUACUACAGAAUAUAAGCAAGAACAUAACUGUAAAGUACGCAAAUAACCACAGGCUUCCAAGAAACGAUAAUUCAACCAUUUUUUCUAAUAUUUAUGAAGAAGGGAUGUCCAUGAAACAAAACACUAAAUAAAUGAAGACAUCCAAAAUUCGAUUUGUUCAACAAAAUGGUUUUGACCCACAUCUUGACAAAAAUAAACAAUAGUGUGCCACUAAUUAGUUGGAACCCAAUUUACCCUCUGGCAUUGCUAAAAGAGACAACACGAUUAAUCUGCAUUCUUGAAAACACAUCUCCAUGACAGCCAAAUCUAAGCUAUUGAGCCCGUGCGAAGCAUUCAAGCGCGUACGUAUACAGAAAGAUAAUUUCUAACAAGAAUCAACCUAGAUAUAUUUCCAAUUCCCAAAUCAAAUUAACAAAAUUUCUUGAUGAUCUACAAAAUUCAAAGAGCUUUGAGUUGAUUGUUGAAAAAGCACAGAAAUCAAAUAGGAACAAGAAAAAGAAAGAAAACAACUAAAAUUAGGGUUUCAUGUAAACAACAAACCAUUGGAUUCCAAAGGAUGAGAUGAAAUGAGAUUGCUAACGCGUCUUGUAGAAAUCUUCAACAGAGAAGCUGAAACUUCUUUCUAGAGACUAUACUGAUCGUCUUUUACGGUUCGCUUGCAGAGACUAUAUUGGGCUUGACUAUUCUUCAGACAUAUUACAAGGGUUCUCAAAUUUCAACACACCGAGCACCAUUAAAUUGGGCCAAAGGCCCGUUUGGCUUAGUUCAAUUUUUGUUGUCAUUAAUAUAUUUUCAAUACUACAAUUUUAUUAUUUAAUUUCCCAUUCGAAUAAAUGGUUACUAUUAAAUUUUAAUUUCCUUCUUCACUUUAAUUUGUGAUAUAUUAUUUGUGUAAAACAUAAUUAAUAAUCUUUUUAUUCACCAAUUGCUGAAACUCGAGAUCUCUCAUUUUUCACGUUAAUAAAAAAAUUAACCUACAAUUAUUUUGUUUAAAUAUUUUUUAAAUUAUCGAUUUAUACUAGUUGUUGACAUACUUUAGCAAUAAGUGAGUAUACAGUCUGUAUAAAUCCGGGUUCAAAUCUCUCUCUUUAUAAGAAAAUUAUGAAAAAAAAAAAAGAAAGAAUUUAUUAUUAUUGAUCUAAUUAAAAGUGAACCAUUCACGUUGAAAAUAAAGUACCAUACCAUAGUAAAUGGUAAUGGGACAUUGAUUUGUCUUGGAAUGAGUUGUUUUAUAUGGCAGAGAAGAAUGAGUUGUUUUGGAAUUUGCACUUUACAUCAUUUUCGGUGAUUAAUCUUAUUACCCAGAAGAAGAAAAUGCAACAACCAAUAAGUGAAAUCAAGAACAGAUAGUGUUCUUUCUUUUGCGAAGAGAAAUAAUAUCACUGUUUGGUAUAACAAAAUUGAUUAAACACGUGAACCCAGUAGACAAAAUUUCUUUUAUACAUAAAAGGGAAAUUAAAAAGAGGAAGGAAAAACAAAAGGGUCAGAAAAGGACUUGAGCAAUAACGAAUGCAAUGGCAGAUCGAUGUUUAGGAAGACAAGAUGCUGCUAUCGCUUCCUUCAACAUAGUGUGUGUGUGUGUAUAUAUAUAUAUAUAUAUAUUAGAAUUUCAAUUUAAAAUGUAUAUUAUAUACUUAGCCCAUGCAGUUUAUCUGUCAUAUCUCCAAUUUUUCACAAUGGUUUUAGAGCUAGCUAGGAUGAGUAUGGUGCUCUUAAAAAGAGACAUAGGGACCAGGUAGUGACUCUCGGAGAGAGACUGGUGCAGCAAGUUGACUCCUAACUAGAUAGUGACUUUCGAAGAGAGGUAUACAUAGGGAUAAGAGGUGAAGCAAUAUUAACCCUUGACCAGGUAGUAACUCUGGGAGAGAGACCGGUGGAGCCAGUGAGCAAAUGAAAAGAUCAGAGAGUGACUCUCGGAGACCAAAGAGACCGGUGAAGCAAAUGAGGAUGCUGAUUGGGCAAUUAAUAAACUAAUUAAAUUUCAGCCACAGAAAGUGGCCAUUCCUCAAAAGCUAUGAACAAAUUAGUGCUGAUUAAUUUUGAAAAUGAAAUAUCAUCAUUUGGUAAUGUACCCACCAUUAAGAACAAGACAUGAAAGCUACAAGUUUAUGAAAGAUCAAAGAUGAUUAGAGAAAAAAGCUACAUUACAUAUUCAAAGAUGAAACCAAACUCCCCAAAGCAGAAGAACCUGUCCCUACCACUAAUUUUUAGCAAAAUGAAAUGCUUCUUUAUGAAAAAUUGACAUCUGAUGAUGUUUGUAUUAUUAUUAUUAUUGUGUAUUAUAUAAAAUGAUGGCCAGCUGUGUUGAUAGAUUCUUUCCAAAACUUAGCUUGAAGGCCCUCCUCAGGUACUGGAAAUGGAUCGUAUUGAACCCCACUCUUAUACCUUACUACUUCCCACCUGCAAAAAUAUUUAGACAUUUAGAUUCUUUUUUAUUAAUUUUUUAGUAUUUUUGGUGUUAGAAUAUCUUUAAUAUAUCUCUAAUACCUGAACUUGGUGACCAAAUGAUGGAUUAGAAUAAGCAUCUCAAGCUUAGCAACUUCAUUUCCUGGACAUGCAUGAACGCCAUUUCCAAAGGGCAUGAACGUAUUGGGUUUUGGUCCAACCUUCAUGCAAUAACAUUAAAAAAUAGUUAAUACUAAAAAAAAAAAAAAAAAAAAAAAAGAAGAGAUUCAAAACGCUACUGCAUUUUAAUAAAAGAAAAAAAAAAAAAAAAAAAAAAAAAAAAAAAAAAAAAAAAAAAAAACAUAUUUGCAUAUACCUCAAACCUAGAAGGGUUAAAUACAUGUGGAUCAGUGAAGAAAUCUGGAUUAUGAUGAAUAUUCCGAAAUAAAGGAAGUACUUUCCAUCCUUUUGGAAUUAAGUACCCUAUCAAAGCAUAAACUAAUUAAUUUUGUAUAAAUUAAGGAGGUAUGUAUAUAUAUACAAGGGUGCACGUACAAUAUAAAUAUUUAUACGUACCUUUAUAUUCAACAUCUUCAACCGCUUCUCGAAAGGUGAACGAUAUAACACUUGCCAUCCUCAAGCUUUCCAUUAUAACCUAUCAUUUUAUCGCCAAAUUAAUACCGAAUAUACAUAUAUAUAAUUAGUAAGAAUUAUUGUAAUUCCGAUAGUGAUUAUACCUUAUUCGUAAAGGGCAUAUUUCUAGUUUGAGACCAUGUUAAUGGAUUUUUUCCUCUCCCAUUUGAUUCAUAAAUCGCAUUCUGCUCCAUCUGAAAUAAAUCAAAUUAAAUCUUCUUUAAUUAAUAUUAACUUUCAUGGUAAGAAAUGGAUUGAUUAUUGCAAGAAAAAUAAUUAAUAAGGAUUUUAAAUAAAAUUCAAACCUUAAUAGCUUCAAGAAUUUUUGAGUCGUCAUGGACAUACUUAAGAAUCCAUGUUAAAACGCUAGCUGUAGUGUCUUGAGCAGCGAAUAGUACACCGAUGAUAUUAUCAGUAAUUUGAUUAUCAGAUAACAUUUGACCUUUCUCAUCUUUGAAGUUCAGUAGAUAACCCAAAAGAUCGUUUUGUAUUAAUCCUUUCUCUUUCCUCUCCCGUAUUAUCCAACCAAGAAUCCGGCUUAGCCUUUUUCUUGCCUGAGAAUCAAGAAAAAAAAAAUUAGAUUGUAAAUCGAUAGAGACGUUAGUUAUUUAAUUUUGAAACUUACCAUGACUGAUUUACUGUAUGAAGUGCCAGGUAGAGUUGUUGGAAAAGAAUUAUAACCUUUAUCAAGUAUGUAGUAAUUUAUCUUCAAAUUUUCUCUAUAGUAAGAGUCCAAGUUACCGAAGAUGGAUAAAACAGCAGCAUCAAAAGUGAACUGCACUUGAAAGAAUGGAAAUGGGACAAUAUUAUAGUAAGAAACAAUAACUUAAACAUAACUUUGGAAUUUUCUUUCAAUAAAGGAUUUAUGUAAUGGCCAGGUUGGUGGUUGUUGACUAAGGUUAUCUUGUCGAUUAGUAAUAAAAAUAUAAAAUUAAGAAAAAUGUAACUUUUUAAUAUAUUUCAUAACAUCAUUGGAUUGUUAUAAGUUUGUUGAGACGUGUUGAAAUUGUCAUUUUUUACGUGCAAAAAUCAUGCUUAUUUAAAAUUAUUACUAUGGUAAAAUUGUUUAAUUUGUCUGGAAUCACUCAAAAAAUAAAAAAUAAAAUUGUACUAAAUCCCAAAAAUUAUUAUUAGUGUUUAGAUAUAUGUAUACUAAUAUGUUCAAAACCUUUUGUCAUCUUUUGCAUAAAAAAAUAAUUAAUCGCCCUAAUAAAAGAACAACGAGAUGAACUGACCUUCUUCAUCUCAUGGAAAGUGUUAACGACUUUGGCAGUAGAAGACAAAGAUUCCAAAGUAGAGAUAGCAAUAGCUUCAAUAUGAGGGACCAGGUUUCUGAUCACAUCGAGUGACAAAGAAACUUGUACAAGUUUUCUCAGUUGAGAAUGGUAAAUCCCUUGGUUGAAAAAUAUUGCUGAUGGCCCGAUUAAUUUUUCCUUGCUUGGCGGGUAUGUUGGCUUGAACAAGCUUGCUCGUGUCACCAACACAAACCUAAUAGCCUCUGGGCUAGCAACCAUAACACAAGGACAUCCAAGAAUGCGAGUCUUGAAUAUCUCUCCAUACCUUAAACAAAACAAAACAACUAAAUGAUUGCCAGUUUGAACUACAAUUAGAGUUUAAUUAAUAAAAACAAUAAAUGAUUAGAACAGAAUCAAAUAAUGGAAUAUAUAACUACCUUUGUUGCUUAUUAGCAAAGAAGAUGUCAGGGUUCUGAGAGUAGAGUUGAAGAGUUUCUCCAAUAUAAGGCAAACCCAUUGAACCUGGUGGCAAGUUUCCUCUUUUGAUCUUGUCCUGUUGUCUUCUUUUUAAUCUAAGUAUAGUUAACAAGAAUAGGGCACAGCAAAAACUACAUACAAGAACCAUACCCAUCUUUCUCUCUUUCUUUCUCUAUAUAAAUCAACAAGAAAUGAGAAGUUCUGUGCUCAUAUAUAUAUAUAUAUAUAUAUAUAUAUAUAUAUAUAUAGAAAACUCUAAUAAGCCUUACUGAGUAGGUGAUGUUUUAUAAACUAGGCUGUACCUGAGAAUAUGGUGGCCACCUACAUGAGAGAGCUAGGGUUAAUAUUGUUCAUUAUCAGCUUAAUGGCUUUAAUGUAACUGGACCUAACAAAUUUUGCAGGUUGCGUCAGAAAACAGCUCUGCUUUUAUUAGAGGAAACUUGUGGAGCACCAGGUGUCCUUAAAGAGGAGCUAUAGGACCUUAUGAGACAACAGCCAAUAAGACAUUUGGUGUUAAGCGUUAUUUUGUGCCAGGUUUUUCAGGUCUAGAGUGCCACCUCUCCUCUCUGUUUUACGGGAGGAAUUAAUUUAUGGUGUCUGUUCUUAAUAAAUAAUCAUUUAACCGAAAUAACACGUACACGGUAGCACUAUAAUUUAUUUAAGAGCUGUACUGUAUGCAUAAUAUAAUCAAAUUAAAGGGAAAAAUUUCACAAGUAAAUAAUUUUUUUAGCCAAAAAAGUUAUGACGUUGUUGUUGUUGUUAUUAUUAUUAUUAUUAUUAUUAUUAUUAUUAUUAUUAUUAUUAUUAUUUGAUUUCUGAAUAAAUAUGCUAUAUGCUUUUGGCAUGAGACUAAUAUCUACAAGUAUUUUCGGGGAUCAACCCUCUGAUCUUACCUUUAGUAAAGAAUAUAAAAUGCUAAAAAGAGUUUAGUUUUUUUUUUUUUUUUUACAUUGAAAUAUUGUUCAUAUAUUAUUAAGAGAAGAAACGAGUAAUACAAGCGAAAAUAAUAUUUCAAGUUCGAAAACAAGCCCUACUAGAAACUGAUUUAGCCAAAACAUGAGUUAUAUCAUUUAUUUAUCUUUUAAUCCAAGCUAACGUGACAUUAGACAUUUGGACUAAGAGUAAUUUACAUUCACAUUGGACAUUAGUUGUUAAGUGUAUUCUUAAAUAUUUGAUUCCUUGGAUGUUUAUAGAAAAUCAGUUUUAAAAAGAAAUUCCCGACAUUGGAACGUAUGAAUGAUCUGGACCAGCAACGUUCCUGCCAAGUUUUGAGACGUGGGAUCCACAAGUCUCAGCCAAAUAGUACUUGGAUGUCGAACAUUCGAGAAGGUGACCCAUCUUCCCACGUGGACAGUGCUCGCGCUAUGGGAUGUUUGUCAGGUUAAUGUCACCGUCAGAUCUAGCUGUUCUUGGCUGCGUGUCGAGAUCAAGGUGGUUGGUUCUCUAUCCCAGGUGAGCACAGCAGGACCCUCUAUCCUCGUGGAAUCGGUCACUUUGCAUGCCCAUUGCAUAUUUAUAAUAAAAUAAAACAAUUAUAAUAUAAUAUGUUGAAUAUAAGCCAAGGGUUAUGGAAUAGCCAACCUCCGAUUAGACAGGAGAGCUCUUUAACUCGAUUUUUUUUAAUAUAUAAUCUAUUAUAUAAUUUGGGCGGAUUGAACUUUUCCAUGAAUGAAAAAAGAAAAAAAAAAAAAAGCCACAUGCAAUAUAAAAAUUUGUUUGCCUUGUUUGAAAACUUAAAAAUCGAUUGGCUAAUUAUAUAAUUUAAAUAAGUAAAUUCAAAUUUGAUUUGUAGUUCCUUUUGAAAAAUAAUGAUUUGUUAUUAAAUGAAUUUGAAUAAGUUUUUCUGAAAUUAAGCUUUGAGCAAUUUAUAAACGGACAAUUUCAUUUAAAACUCUAGUAACAAGAUAUAAAUUUCUCAGAAAAUAUAUAAAUAUAAUUUUUUUAAUCAUCAAAUUUUUUAUAAAUUUAGUUAGGUCUAAUUUUUAUAGUAAUUCGAUUUUGAUUGGUUAAUUUAUAGUUUUAGUUUUUUUGUUAAUGGUUUGAUUAAUUAAAUAAUAAAUUUAGAUCACAAUAAAAAAAAUAUUAGUCAAGAAUUUUUCUAUCGAAUAUGCUACGUACGGAAUAAUAAAAAAACAUUUUCAUUUCUCAUGAAUUAUCAACAGAAUGCAAAAUCAAAAUCUUUUGCCGUUGAUCUUACGUUCUUAUGCAAAUCAAAACGUCUCAAUUGAGAUGUCUGAAGCUUCUAAGCAAAAACUGCAUUUAUCAUAAGAAUCACAAGUAAAAAAAAAUAGUCAUCAUGUACUAAUUUUGUUAUACAAGAAAUACCAAAAAUAAUAUAAUGAAGUAAUUGGUGAAAGUGACUCCUUGAAUGUCAUUACGAAGCUUUGGAAAAUAGAGAAAAUGUGAUUUUGCCUAAAAGAGUAUGUCUUUAAUUAGUUUUUUUUUUUUGAAGCAGUAACUCAGAAUAUGCACAUUCCUCUUGCUUGUGGUCUUCAAUUUCUGUAUUUGGAGAAGGUUUAACAACCAGCUCAUGCAUCGUGUAAUGACUCCCACAUCAAAUUUGGAAAUUAACCCUAACUAUUUUUGUAUAAGUGUAGAUAUCCACCUUACGUACUUAACUUGCUAAUCUUUUGGGAAGAGUAUAUAUGAUCUAAUAAAAGGUAAUAUUAGAUUAGAACUGACCUAAUAAUGAUAUUAUUAAAUCACAUAAAAUAAUAUUUUAGUUUAUAUUUUCAGUUACAAAUCCCGCCGAGUACUUAUACAUUUUAAUUUUGGAUCAUAUUUACCGAUAAAAGUUCGGAAAUUUUGAGUAAGUUUUGAAUAAAUGUAUUCAAAUAUGUUUAAAAUAUUAGUGUUAUAUAUGUGUCUAAAAUUUUAAAAUUUAUUUUGGAAUACUCGUAUUUGAACUUAUUUAAAAUAUUUAUAUAUGUUUAAUAUUCAUUGCUCAAGUUAUACCCUCCUAUUGUAUGAGUGUAUUUGAGCUUCCCCUUGGUUUGUGUGACGACUUGCAAAGAAUUAUGAAUGGGUAUUGAUGGGGAAGAAGAAGGAAGGAGGGAGGGGCAUUCAUUAGUUAUCUUGGGAUAGGAUGUGUGGCAGGAAGAGGGAGGGUGGAAUGAGUUCUCGUAAUUUUCGUGGUUUCAAUAUGGCUAUGCGACGUAAGCAGGGGUGGAGAUUGAUUACCGACCCUAACACGCUUCUUUAUAAGGUCUUCCAAGCUAAAUAUUUUCCUAAUUGCGAUUUCCUUAAUGCUAAUCUAGGUAAUAAUUCUAGUUUUGUCUGGACAGGUGUGUUGUCUUCUAGCAUAGUUUUGAAACAAGGGGUGAGAUGGAGAGUAGGAAAUGGUGAGAGUAUUUUUAUCGCUAGAGAUCCAUGGCUUCCAAAGGAGGGUUCUUUUUAUGUGGAGGAUGGGGGAGAUUUUGUUGAUCAAAAUAUUAGAGUAAAGAGCUUAUGGUGGUGGGGGAAAGGAAAUGGGAUAUUGGCAAGCUUAUGUCGUUUAGUGUUAGAGAUAUGCAUGUAAUUCUUAAUAUUCCUCUUAGCUUUAGAAAUCAUGGCGACAAAAUUUUGUGCCAUCAUGAGAAAAGGGGUAUGUAUAGUGUCAAACCCGGGUACUUUGUAGCACUUCAAAGUCUUGGGGAGAAUGCAUACCCGAAUGGAUGAUAAUUUUUUGGAGUAGAAUUUGGAAAUUGGAUGUACCUCUUAAGGUGAGGGAGUUUAUGUGGCGGAGUUUGCGGAAUAUAUUGCCUACUAGGAUAAGAUUGAGGAGCAAAGGGGUAGAUAUUUUGGCUAGGUGCCCUUUUUGUGAAGAAGGUGAGGACGUUAAUCAUGCUUUACUGCAGUGUGAGAGAGCCAAAGGGAUUUCGAGACAUGGAGGCUUUAGAGAUUUUCCCACUAACGGUUAUUUUGUAGACUAUUUCAUGCAGGUCCUGGAAAGCUCCAAUACUUCACGCGUCAACUUAUUUGCUAUUCUUGCGUGGCAGAUUUGGCAGUCAAGGAACAACUUCAUUUGGAACAACAAAGCAGAAUCGUGCUUUGCGAGUCAUGCUAGAGCGGUCUUGUGUUUCCGUCAGUAUGAGGCAGCUUGUGCAUCCAGUCUUCAUGGUCAAGUUUCGCAGAGUCCAGGUCAGGUCCAUCGAAGCUAUAGAUAAGACGUUGUGCAUGUCAAUGACGCAUGGCACUACCACGUUGAUGGAACAGUUUUUAGUGAAGCCUAGUUAGCCGGUUAUAGGGCAACCUUCGAGGACGAGGAGGGCAUCUUUUUUCGUGCAUUAUCUGGCUUUUACGAGGGAUGUCCCAGUCCAGCAACUGUGGAAGCCUGGCAAUCCGUAAGUCUUUAAUCUACAUGACUGAGAAUAUGCUUGGUUUUGGGGUUGUUUAUUUAGAUUCUCAAGUGGUAUUUUUCGCUUUACAGCCCAGUUUAGUUGAUAUCUCCGAGUUUGGUUUAAUUAUCUCUGAUUGUAAACGAUUGCUAGACUCUAAAAUUGAGAUUCACGCAAUGUGAGUAAGGAGACAAGUUAACAUAGAUGCCCAUUGCAUGACUAGAGAUCCUAUUGUUAUGCUCGUGUUCAAAUAGGGGAUAGUAUACCUCGGUGUUUGUUGAAAUAUUUUUCCACAAAAUAAUGAUAUUCAUUUCUCAUUUCAAAAAAAAAAAAAAAAGUUAUCUUUUGAUACUUGUUACUUAAACGGGUUUCAGCAGAUACCAAAUACCCGACAGCCUUAAAUCCAAACCCAAACCCAUAUCAAAUUCAAAUUUAAUAUACUCAUCUCAUGCUCAUUUAAUUUAAUUAAUAAGUAAAUCCAUUUUAAAUGAGUUUUAUGGGUUGAGUACCCAUGAAAACUCGGCCUACUUUAGACAUACAAUAAGUAUUUCAAUUUUUUAUAAAAUAAUAAAUUUGUAAUCCUAAAUUUUAGUUGAAUUUUUAAAUAUUUAAAAUUUUAUUAUUACUUAUUAUUAAUAAAUAUGCUUUCUUUUCAAAAAAAAAAAAAAAAAAAAAAGAUGGAGGAUUGAAGAAUUGGUGAUGUACAGGAAUAAUUCUGUAUCAUAUUGGAGGAUUGAACCUCAUAUAUUAUAAACAUUACGUAUAGCUCCUAACAGUCUAUCUGCGAUUUCUGGCCCAAACAAUCUUGGGAAAGAAAUUCCCAAAUCAUUCUCAAUAGUUUUCUUCUUAACAAUCUCAUCCCUCUUUUUCAAAUAACCUUUCUCCUCCGCGUUCACCUCUCUCCCUCCACAAGCACAACUAUCCAACCAGAUCCCAAAAACUUCCUUUGCAACAGGACCUAUGUGAUUUUUUAUUAUCUCCUCCAUGCGAUCUCCUCCAUCUGCCUCAGUUUCUGCGCGAAUCAAUAUUGCUGUGGGUGAAAAGAGGCUACGGAUAUAAAGCGAUGAAGAGACAUAAGGUUGAAUCUCAGGGAGCUUCUGAAGCAUUUGCCUGUGUGAGUCCAACUGAGAUUUCUCGUAGAAAGUUUCGAGGUAGUCUGGAUAAAAGACAGGGUCUUUUCGUGGAGGCAAAUCAAGAAUAAGGACUAGUGAUGUCGGACUACUCCUGAUGAGGUCCAUUGUGAUGUUUGGUGCAUCAGUUGAAAGGUUCAAAUAAGCUGAAAUGUUUGUAAUGUUCAAUUCUGCACCAGUUGGUAGCUUGCAAUGUAGCCAACUUCCUAGUAUGAAAUCAACCUGACAAAUACCAUAUCAACAGAACAAAAGUUAUUAACAAGAAGACUGAAAGAUACUUUUUUAUAAUUUUAGUAAAGAGAAGCUGGAAAAUAUCAGAACUUUCUUAUGAAUUAAGUACUGAAAAACUGUGGAUUUCUUCAGCAACUAACUAAAAAUAGAAUAAAUCAGCCAAGUAAAAACUGGCUGCUGUAUGUUAAUUGUUUAGGAAUGGGUUCAGCUAGCAAUCUGCCUCAAUCAAUUCAAUCUCAACCAUAUAUGAAGACGAAGGAAGUAAAAGUAUGAACCAAAACGCUCAAUCUCAAAAUACGUUGAGCAGAGACUUUCUGAAUUUCUCACAUAAAGAAUAAUAUAAGACUCAAUCCAGGUCAUUGACUCAAGCUUGGAUUAUGAAAGCAUCAUCUCAGAGUAGAACCCUUUUCAACCCUUGCAUCAACAGUUCCUAAUACCACAAAACUCACUGAGAAUCCACACCCAGAAGAGCUGAAACAAACAAUUCUGAAGGAAAAAGACUCAGAGCCUAAAAUGAAGAUCCAAAAUCACACGAUAUUGAACUAAGUAUACCAGUACUGUAGAGACUUCCCAAGGCUUCCAUGCUUUGUAUGUGAAGUUAUUACUAUCAGUUUGUUACUUUUUCAAGAAUCAUUGAGCCCCAUUACUCAUAGGUUGUUUAAACUUGCAUAAUAUGCUUGAGGCUUGUUAACAGCAUAAAUACAGCUUACCUUGUAAUAUUCUACACAGAGUAAAGAAUUCUGACAAAUCAUCAUUCAGUACUUAAACCAGAUUGAAAGCUUAAAAUAAAACUAACAAUAGCACUUUUGCGUCUGAUUUGUAGAAAUCAGCAUCAAUAAUUCGAAUUCUUAAAUCAAAUUAUAGUCUAAAGUUAUGUUUGGAAAAAUGGAAUUCACUUAAUUACAAAUGAAUUUCAUAUAAUCAAUUUUUAAAUAAACUCGAAAGCGAAAUAUAUUAAGUAGUAAAUAUAGAAAUUCACUGGCUAAUUCUACUGAUACUAAUCAAAUCCAUAUUUUUAUAGUCUUGCUAAUACAGAGUGGGUUUAAAAUCUUAUCACUUUUGGUAGGAGACUACUAAAAAGAAUUAAAAAAAAAAAAACAAAAUUUAAAAUGAAUGUUUAUGCAUACCAAACAUAUGCAUGAAGUAACCAAAAGAUCGAAAUUUCAAAGGCAGUGCAAGGAAAUUACUUACAGGGGAAUAUUGGUUACCGGAUCUGAUAUGAAGCGAGUUUCGGGCGGUUCCAGUUUCGUUCUGGCAGUAUUGUACGUCGGGUGGAAGAGUACAUGGUAGGAGUUGCGAGCCAAGCCGAUUCUCUACUGUAGAUACAAGAUCAACCAUCAAAGCCUUGUGCGAAGCCGAGACGAAAGGGUAUUCCAUGAGCUUUGCACGUCCCUGAUUGUGCUGAUCCAUUGAGGAAGAUGAAAAGGCAGAGAUUUUGGUUGUGGAUAAUUUGAGUAGAGGUGAAGGAAGGGAAGAAAAACAAAUUGGAAAGUGUGAAGUCUUGAAGAAGGUAAAGCUGACAGCCAUUGCAUUUGUAGCCACAGCCACAGCCACAAAACAAAAUCUACACUCUCCUGAUAUUUAUGGUUACUUAUCGUCUCCAUUUUUAUUUUCUUCUAGUCCAUGGACAUGAAAGGGAAGGUUUCGAAGCUGACACUCGUUAGUUUUUAACUUUUUUACUUUCAUUUUAGACAAUGAAUAUUGGUAACAAGUUUUAGUCCAUGGAGUCUCUGCUUGGCGCUUUCAAAGUGCUAUGUUUAAAAUCAAAUUUUAUAAAACUUUUUGAAAUUAAUUUUGAUUUUGUCAAUUGAAAUUAAAAUAUUUUAUAGGAAAAAAUUAAUAUUAAACUCUUAAAAGUAAUAUCAUUUCAAAAUUAUUCAAUUACAUAAAUGUCAUUUAUAAUUUGUAUUUUAAUCUCCUAAAAUUAUAAUAUUAUUUAUUAUUUUUGAAUAAAUAAAACUAAUUAGGAGCCAAUUAUAUAGUCUGGUUAUUUUUUUUUAUUAUUAUUGUCUAUAAAUGGAAGGUCUCGAGUUUAAAUUCUCUCGACUACAAAAAUUUUUACUCAACAUAUUAUUUCGGCAUAUUGUAUCUCUAAUGAAUUAAAAAGAUAAAAUAAAUUGAAUGUAGUAGUAUUAAUUUAAUUUAAUUAAUUUUUUUUGCAUAGCCUACAAUGAUUUCCAAAUUAGAAAAUUUAAUGAUUUAAAUUUGGUUUAUUUUUCAAUCAAUUAGAAUUAAAUUAUUAAUUGUUCAUACCUAAUAAUAGAUGCCAAAUCAUUAAAAAAAUCUCAAACUUUGCCGCUAAUUUUAAUUGUAGCGUAAAUCUAACUUUUUUCUCCUAUUAUUUUGAAUUUAAAUUUUAGUUACAAUAGUAUCCGAAUAUCAAAUUUUAUUCAAUUUAAUGAACAAAAUAUUAUUUUUGUGGGACCCAAUUUAAUCUUUUUUCCAAAUUAGACUCUUUUCCACCACUACUUAUAAAUAAAUAAAAUAUUUAUAUUUAUUUGUAUAAAUAAUAAAAUAAAAAUAAUUUAUUCAUUUUAAAUAAAAUAUUUUUAUUUAUUAAUUUAUUUAUAUUGACAACAAGUAGUGAUUUCCUAAAAAAUAAAAUGACAUUGUGAAAUCUAUUUUUAUAAGAGAUCUAACAUAAGUAGUAGAAACAAAAACUUAAACUAAUAUUCUACGCUUAUAACUAACUGAAAUUUAUUAAUUUAUUUGGCUUUUUAUGAAUUUAAAUUUCUAAUCAAUAUUAGUUAGGUUAUUAUUAAACUGUGAAUUUUAUUCAAUUAGUUAGGUUGUUGUUAAACUCUGAAUUUUUAGUUAAUUUGACUAUAAGAGAGAGUAUAAAUCUAAUGAAAAUAAUAUUUUAUUUAUCAAAUUGGAUCCAAUUUGAAAUUAAAGAGUUAUUGCAACUAAAAUUAAAGUUCAUAAUACUAGAAGAAGAAGAUUGAAUUUAAGGUACAAUUGAAAUGAAACGCAAAAUUUGGAGUAUUUAUAAUGAUUUAGCCAAUAAUAGAAGUGAAAUACCUUUGGGAAACUCAUCGACACAAAAAAUGUUUCAAAAAAAUUAAGUUAUUUGUAUAAAAUUAAUAAUACUCACAUAUUGUUUAAAAAUUAAGAUAUUUUUUAUUAUUAUUUAUCACUCUCAUAUAAUGAAAUAACCAGAAUUUUUAUUUUCAAAGAUUUUUCGUUUAAAUUUAAUAAACUGACAGCGUGGAAAAUGUAUUUAAAUAUUUAAACGUGAAUUAAUAAUUUGUACAGUGAUAAACCGAAUCGAAAACCAAUUGAAAAAUGAAAAAUCAAACAAAACCAAGAUUUGGGCCGAAUCGAAUCGAAAUCAAAUCGAAUCAGCCCAAACCACUUCUAGAAGCCUCUCCCCUCUAUAUCCAGCGCAAACUUCACCCUCCCCUCACCAUUUCUGCAACACCUCCAGCAGCGCCACCACUGCCACCUCCUCUUCUUCUCUUCCUCCUUUCUCUUCUUUUCUUUCUUUCCUUCUCCUUUCUCUUCACCUGCGUUGCGUUUCUGGCGAGAAACAGAGCAGCAGCAGCGGCACCAGGUCGAUCGCGCCACCUCGCUGCCGCUCGCCGUCGCAGUAGCUCCGCCAGCACCGUUCCUCAGUUCCCGUUCAGGCGAGCACAGUUGACAGGAGCAGCACCACAGUCGAUCUAUCGCGCCACUGCCCUGCCGUCGCUCCAGCGCGCCUCCGACCACNNNNN
rnacentral:lncRNA from 1 species